GGUAAUACUCCGCAGCAUUAGGAAUUAUGUUAUGCUAAUAAUAUGGAAGCAGGACAAACACUUUCUGUCACUAAACAGUAAAAUCCAUUCUUAUAUAUACAAAUUGUGAGGAUUGGAAGCAAAACAUUAGGUUGAAAGUGAAAAAUAAAUUGUUAAUACACAAGUUGUACUACUUAUAUACAUUUUAAUUAAUAAAGAAAAAAAAAAAAGCAAGCCAAUACCCCUCAUUUUUUUGUGAAAUUAUACUAGCUAUUAGAAUAACGACAACUAUCAUGAGUCUGAAUAGAACAGAACGGAUACAUAAUAUUCGAGUAACAAUAUCUAAUUAGCUUAAAGUUGAAGCAUAUAUAUAAUCGAGUUGAUUUAACCCGUUAAGAAUGCACAAAAUCUCUUUCAUUCCACAGCAACAUCAGCUAUAUGAAACCAAUUUCUUUGGAGGAGCUCUACAAUCUCUUCAUCUCUGGAUAUUGUAACAUGUUAUAGUAAGUAUCAUAAAUAAAAUUAAUAUUAUAUAAUUGUAUUAAUUAAUAAUGUUAUAUAUGUUCUAAGUAUUACAAUAAUAAUGUUACAUAUAUAUACCUUGAUUUAGAAGGAGACUUUGGGGUUUGGUGACAAAAACGAGGGCUUCAUCAUAUCCUUCACAUGUGAUUUCUCCAUAUUCAUCUCUAUAACAAACUACACCCGUUGACUUAUCUUCAAAUACCUAUAUAUAUUCAUAUAAAUAUAAUAAAUAUAUUACGAAAAAUCAGUAAACGUUUGUACAUGAAUUGAUUGAUAUUUUUAAAAAAAAAAUAGUAGUACGAAUAAGAAGUGAAAUUGAUUACAUAUAAUUAAUGUAAAAAAAAUAGAUGUUGACGUCUAACUGAAUUCAAAAUUUAGCUCAUGAACGAAGGAUAUUGCUUAAAUCCUUAUAAAAAAAACCUUUCAUUUCUUUUUCACGUUCAAAAUUGGACACCUGAUGUAUGAAUAAUUUAAUAUGAAGGUCCAACAUAAAUUUCAAAUUAUUGGAAUGACUCCUACUCUAAUACAUGUCUAGAUAGACUAUAGGCCUUAUAUAAUUUUAUAUAAUAUUAAAGCAGACAAAGGUCUUGGAGAUCGAAUCCACCAUCACCUUUAGUAUAAAGAAUGAAAUACCUUAAACCCAUUUUUCGAAGUUAAUUUGAUCUGACACGGAGUUGUUGACGAUAACGAUGAUGAUGAUGAUGAUGCAAACACUACUCGUCUAUGGACAGGCAAUCUUACUGUCCUUGUAGUGAAAGAUGAUUUGGUAACUAGAAAAGAUGUUGAAAGAGAGUUUACCACAGCCAUUGAAGUUAAUGGAGAGAAGAAAAAUAAGAAGAAAAGAGUGAGAGAAUGCUAAGGAAUGUUAGUUUAUGGUAUGAAGUAUAGUUGUUGAGGGACUUUAUAUUAUAUAGUUUUUUCUGUAACUUAAUCUUGCUAGUACUGUUUGGGGAAGACUUAGUACACAUUACUACUUUUAAUUUGUAGUACCUAACAAAAAGAGUUUGGAUUUUAUUUGCUUAUAUUAUAUAUUAUAGUAUAUCUAACUGCUUGGUGCUAGAGUUUUUUUAAUUUGUUUUGGUAAGUUAAAAUAGAUGAUGAAUAAUAGUUUCUUUGUUAUAAUUUAUUUGUUUUGUGUUGAUUUGAACUAAAUCGUUUAAAAAAAUAAAAAGAAAUUUUGAAUCUUGUGAUCUUAAAUCAAAGAUAUGUUGUUAUAUGUACCAAAAUGUGCUUUAAUCGAAUGGUUUUAAACAUCUCAAGUGGAAAAAUUAUAGAUAAAAGAGUUAUCACAAAAAAAAAACUUUUUUUUAAUUGAAAUGGACUAAGAAGAAAAGUAGGACAAAUAAAUUGAAAUGAAGAGAGCAAUACUUGUUUCGAUGGUUGUUAUCUAUUGUAUUACAUUGCUUUUAGAUACUAUAUUUGUUUUUUAUUAUUACAUUUUGAAUUUGUUUAUAUCAUAUUGUUAAAUUCAUUAGGUUAUAAGACGAUUAAAAUUCUCAUUUUAUGUAAUGACUGAAUUUGAUAUGAUUGUGUUGUUAUAUUUUCUUCUUUUUUUGAUAAUAUUAUAAAUUUAUUUUUAAAAUUAUUAAUAUGUAUUAUAAUAUAUAUAGCAACAAAAAAUAAUAUAGUCUAUCCAAAUAUAUUUAAAAACAAUACAACAUAAUACGGUAUAAAAUAAGUUUCAACCAUCCAUAGUGAAACCAACAAGUUAAUAAAUUAUAUAUCCUCAAGAAACAUAGUGAGUUUCAAGUCGAAAUUGAGGUUAUAUAGUGCUUUGACUAUCAACAUAAAAUAGAUCAAUUAUAUUUUAGUAAUAAUAAUUAUCAAAAGGAAUAUACAUAUAAAAAUUAUAAUUAUUAUUGGAAAUAAUUAUUGGAUCAAGUCCAUGGUCUAAUUUUAUUCCAUUAGUUAUUUAGUUUGUCCUCUUUUUUAAUGAUAAUCACAUUUUUUAAUAAAGAUUCCACUAUGAGCAUAGUAAAAUAUAGUUUCUUUCAUAUUAGAUGAUGAUUACGAUUAAUAAAACGUUAUAUAUCUCUAAAGGAUAUCUAAAUUGUGGACAAAUGAUGUUCAUCCACAUUGUGAGAAUAUUUGACAAUUAAUAACACAGGUCAUGAUUACUGCAGAGUCACUUCUGCUUUAAAGAAAUUCAUAAAUCUUUUGAACUAAUAUUUACGAUUCAUGUACUACAACUAUUAUAUAUAUAAUGGUCAUCUUUGUUGUUGUUGUUGUUAUGGUCUAGCCUUACUAUUUGGGAUUAAUGUGUAUAUAGUAGGAGUAUAACUUUUCCAAGAGUUCCACUUGAUUAUUAAAAACUUUGCUUUUCCAGCUUAUAUAUUGUGUAUCUACAACCCCUCUCUUUAGCACUUCCACAUCAUGAAAUAAUUUCAUUUAAUGUUUGGACUAAGGUUGAGGCCAUGAUCCUCUAAACGCGAUAUGGAUAGAAAUCAUCCCAAAAGUUUGAGAGAUUUUUGUGGGAUUGAAUGAACCAACCUGCCUUUUGUAGGCUAGCUCUUUUUGUGUGUUAAUAGUUAAAUGAACUUGUCUCCAAAGUUUCUCUGUUAUCACAUAACUGAUUUAUCUAAAUUUUUCUCACUUUCAUCUUCCAUCUCGGCUAUGUUUGAUUCACUGUUUCCUUCUCUUUUUAAGUUGGAUUGAUGUCAUUGAGUUGAAGAUCUUUCAUAAACAGCCUCUUUAUCUCCACAAAGUAGUGGUAAGAUUUGCACUCUGUACAUUCUACAUACUCUACUAAGUGAGAUUUCACUAGGUAUAUUGUUGUUGAUGAUGAUAAUAUUUUUCACUAGGGAAAAUAUUGAAAAGCUCCUUCUUCUGUUGAUAGUUUUAGAUGAAUAAAUAUUAAGGUGGAAAGCUUCCAUCUUAAAAACUGAAUUACCAUUUUACCGCUCUACUAAAUUAAGAAUUUAAUUAAAUAAUAAUAUUUUAAUUAUCUAAAGAUUGAAUUAUAUAAAAUUAUAAAUGCAUCUUUCUUAUAUUAAAAAAUAAAAUUGACCUAGAUUUAAAAUGAAUUGUAAUCCAAAAAUAGAAAGUAGAAACGCUUUCUCUCCUAAGGAAGUUCUCAAACAAACUAAAAAUUCAAAGUUCCUCUUUCUCCUAUCAAGAUGGUGAUUUUCUAAUCGAACAAGAAUGAACUGUAGUUGGUUCUAAAAGAAGUAACUAUAAAAAAAAUUAACACAGAUAAAUUGGUUUAAAAAUACAUAAUGAAUAUCAAAUAGUAAGAUUAUAUAAAUCAACAUGUUAAUCUGUAAUUUUACCAUUUCCUGAAUUGCUACCAUAGACCUUUUCUUUUAUGAACUUCAUCGAAAUGAUAAGUAUUGGUACAACAUGAGGAAAUAUUUUGCCACACACUCACAUGCAAUUAAAUUAGUCUUAGGUUAUUAGCAUUUUAAUAUUAAUAUUUAACAUAUUAAAUUGCUUUAUUUUGAAGUUAUAAGAAUGACCAUUGGUAGGCAUUUGUGUUUUAAACUACCAAUUUAAUCAUGAUAUUCAUCUUUGACUUGGUAGUCAUGUAAUGCCAUUACUUUUGGCUUUGUUGGCGGAAUUCAUUAUGAGAUACAAACAUUCCAAUAAACAUUGGAAUGGAUAACUUCUACAUCAUCCAUUAGCAUUGCUUAUCCAUCACUUUAUUUCAUUCUUAAUUCCUCCAUUACUCUUUGUAACAUAUGUAACUCCUUUAUAACUUAUGAAACUCCUAAGACCAUUAUCUUCACUAUUUAGUACCUCCAUUAUCUUCCUAUUCAUUGCUAGGAAGACUUCUUGUAGUAUAAAUAGUGGUGGUCUUCAUUUGGUUUGGAACACACAAAAAACACAAGAGAAAACAAAGAGUGAAAGAGCUAGUCUAAAAGAGAGUUCUUAUUAGUUGAAGGGAGGUGUUUUUUUUUUGUGGAUCUUUGGACUCAACUCUUGUCCAGAGUUGUUAAGUUAUACUUUGUAAAGGUUGUUGUAUCCUGGAGGGGACAAGUUUAAGAGGACUACUGCUGGACCGGUGAAAACAUUUGCUGCAGUGGGCUUGAAUCUCCUUAAGGAGAGCGAGAUAUCCGCGCCUCAGCUUGAAGAGAUUAAUUUCUUCAUUUUAUAUUCAAUUGUAAUCUUGCAAUUUUAUUAUCUUGUAAGUUUUUUCACUAACAAUUAGUAUAAAGCACCGUUAUGUUUCUCUUAACUAAGUUGUAUUCAUAUAUGAUAUAACUUACACUAAUUUAAUUGCAUGUCAAGUGUAUGACAAAAUAUUUCUUUAUGAUGUAUUACUACGCUAUCAUUUUGAUCAAGCUCACGAAAGAACAUGUUAUAUGCUAACAAUACAACAAAGAAAUAGUAAAAAGUCAUACAUGAAUAUGUUAGAAUAUACAAUAUUAUUAUUUAAUGUAAUAACUUGAUACUCAUUAUUUAUUCACCAACGAAUUUAUAUUUGCAUUAACUCGGUUUUUUUGUUACCUCUUUAGGACCCACUAUGAAUCAUUCUUGUUCAAUCAUAAAAUCACCGUCUUGCUAAUAGGAGGAUCUUAUGGGAAAAUCUUAGGAACAUUAAAACAUCUUAUAAAGAUAUGUGGCUCAUUAGAGGUGAUUUUAAUGAGCUAACUUUUUUUCUUUUUUUUUAAUAGAAAAAAAAAGGAUCUCAAUGAGAAGCACAAGCAAGUGGGAUUAGGCUUCCUUACUAAUCUUGAUGAGGUAAAGGACCUCUACAAAUUAACAAGCAUGAAUAAACUACGAGCUAGAGAAAGCUAGAUAUUGCAUAUUCAUCAUAGAGUUUAUAAUAAAUUCUAUGAUGAUACUACAAUGAGAAUGCUUAAGUAAUUCAAAAAUACAAAAUCUAAGAAUAAAGUUGGUUAUCAAAGGAAUUCUGGAAGAAGAAAAAAACAGUGGUAACCCUUUCUGAGUAAUUACAAAAAAUUGUGUUCUAUUGGCUUAUUUGAGAUCUCGACAAUUAUUUUGGGGUUUAUCUGAUUGUUUGAGGUUUUUGUAUUGGAUUUGAGUUUUAUCUAAUUAUUUGAUUAUUUGUCAAAGCAGAUAUUGAAUGUAUCAACUUCUUUUUUGCUUAUGAUUCAGAAUUUUCCUGGUUCUAAUUUUACUCUCCUUGAGAAUUUUUUGUAAUUUGCACUUCUAACUCGCAUUUGUCUAUUCUCGUGAAGCUUAGUACUGAAUAGAAGCAAUAGAUAGGUGCAAAAAGGUUUCAAGUUCAUGUUCAAUUAAGUUUUUUUGUGAGUUUCAUGGGAUAAAACAACAACUUACUACAGCUUAUACUCCUCAACGAAAUGGAGUAUGUGAGAGGAAGAAUGGAACAAUCAUGAACGUUGUAUGAAGCCUUUUACAAAAGAGCCAUGCUCCAAAAGUUUUUUGGCCUGAAGCAGUUUGUUGGAGCGCUUAUGUGCUUAAUCAAAGUCCGUCUCGUUCUAUUCAGCUUUGACACCAGAUGAAGCUUAGAGUGGACAACAACCAGAUUUUCAACAUUAAUGAGUGUUUGGGUGCAUUGCAUAUUCUCAUGUUCCAGAUCAGAAAAGGACAAAGCUUGAUGACAAAGUCAAUAAGUGAGUUUUUCAUAGGUGUUAGCAGGGAGUCGAAAUCUUAAAAGUUGUACAAUAGUGAUUAUCAAUUGUGGUGUAGUAUUUGAUGUAGAUAAUUUAUUGGUCGUGUGAAGAAAAGCCAAAUAACCAAUAGCUCCUUUGGAUCUUGACGAUGGAGAUAAAGAGCAAGAGCUGUAGAAAAUAUGAAAGGAAAAAUAAUAUCAUUAGAAAAUGCUCAAUUUUAUUAUAGGCUACUUAAGUCCACUUGAGAUGAUUACAAUCAUCAACUACAUCACAAUUUAUACUACUCAAAAUAGAAAACAAAAAGUCUUGGACAAAUAACUAAAUACAUGUAUCACAAUUUACUAGAUACAUGUACUACGGAAUUUUAAAAGACUUCUUCAAAAACUAUGAGACAAUUUUGGAAGACUAAACAUUGAUGCAUUAAUUCCAACACUCCCCCUUAAUGCAUUUGCUUGAUAACUCCAAUGCGUUCUCGAAGAUAGCAAAAUUUUUCUCUAUGAAGUUCUUUGGUGAAAAUGUCAGCAAGUUGUUCUCCUGUCUGACAAUAAUGCAACUGAAUUUCGCCUUUCUUUUGUGCUUCUCGGAUAAAAUGACACUUUAUGGAAAUAUGCUUUGAUCUUUCAUGGCUGACUGGAUUCUUGGCAAUUGCAAUUGCUGAUUUUUUAUCAUAAUAUAGAACAGUCCUUUUUUGUUUUGUUUUUCACCAAUUUCUUCAAAUAUUCUCCUAAGCCAAAUAGCUUGAGAAGUAGUCUUGGAUGCUGAAACAUAUUUUGCUUCGGCAGUGGAUUGAGCAACAACACUUUGUUUUUUUGAUUACUAAGAACAAAUGCUUGAUCUAAAUAAGAAAGCAUAACCAGAGGUACUCUUCAUGUCAUCUAUACUUCCAGCCCAAUCACUAUCAGAAUAACCAAUUAAGUUCAAAUUUUCAUCAAAUUUGUACAUUAUCCCAUAAUCCAUUGUUCCUUGCAAGUAGCGUAGAACACGCUUUGCAGCUCCAAAAUGCACUUGGCUUGGUUCUUGCAUGAAUCUUGAUAAUAAACUAGCAGCAAACAUAAUAUCUGGCCUUGUUGAAGUAAGAUAUAGCAAACUUCCAAUCAAACUCCUAAAAUGUUAGCUAUUAACUUUCUUUUCUCCGUCAUCUUUUCUAGAAUUCUCAUUUGCUGCAAAUGGUAUGGCCACAGACCUGCAAUCCAUCAUUUUGAAUUUUUGAAGAAUACUUUUAGUAUAGUUCUUUUGAGAAAUGAAAAUUCCUUCUUUCACUUGAGAAACUUCGAUUCCCAAGAAAUAAUUUAGUAAUCCAAGAUCACUCAUUUCAUAAGCUUGCAUCAUAUAUUGUUUGAAAUUUUGCAUCAUCUUUACAUCACUUCUUGUAAAGAGCAAAUCAUCCACAUAGAGACAAGCAAUGAUAAUGAUGUCAUGUUCUUUCUUCACAUACAAAGUGGCUUCACUUUUACUUCUCUGAAAAUUAUUUUUCAGAAAGUAUGUAUCAAUUUCAUUGUACCGGGCUCUUGGAGCUUGCUUCAGCCCGUAAAGAUCUUUUUUUAGUCUAUACACCUUUUCUUCUCCCCAUUAAACAAAAAAUCCAUGAGGUUGCUAUAAAUAUCUUCAUCAAGUUUUCAAUUCAUAAAUGUUGAUUUAACAUCAAGUUGAAAUAUCUUCCAUUUCUUUUGUGCAGCAACAACAAUUACAGUUCUAAUUGUCUCAAGACGAGCAACUGGAGAGAAAGUUUCAUAAAAAUCAAUACCUGGUUUCUGCGUGAAGCCUCUAGCAACCAAACUUGUUUUGUGCUUUUGAAUAUCUCCUUCCUGAUUGAGUUUGAUUUUGUCCAUUUUAGACUUACGACUUCUUUUUCUCUAGGAAUAUCCACAAGCUCCCAAGUAUUUUUUUUUCGAUCAUUCAAAUUUCUUUUUCCAUGGUUUUCUGCCAAACAUCAUGCUUUAUUGCUUCUUCAUAAUUUUUUGGCUCAACACCAGAAAAAUUACAUCUUUGAUAAAUGUCACUCAAUAUUUUUGUUCCUCUUGGAGGCGGUUCUUCAUUAUCUGAAUCUGGGAUUUCUCUCCCUUGAGAGACAUCUUCAUCUUUCUCAUCCUCUUCUUGAUUUAAAGAUAUGACAGUAGUAUUCUCUAUCUUUUUAUCCUCCCAAUUCCAUGUUGUUUUUUCAUCAAAAAUGACAUCUCUACUAACAACAAGUUUGUUAGUUUUGUCAUCGAGAAGCCUAUAUCCUUUUGUCACAUCACUAUAACCAAGAAAGACACAUUUUUGACUUUUUUCAUCCAAUUUUGUUAUUUUCUCAGCAGGUACAUGAGCAUAACAAAUACACCCAAAUUUUUUAAAAUAACUUACAGAAGGUUUAAUUCCACUCCAAGCUUCAACUGGUGUCUUGUCCUUUAGUGCCUUUGUUGGACACCUGUUAAGGAUGUGCAGUGUUGUAUGCACUUGCCCAAAAAUAUUUUGGUAGCCCUUUCUCAUUCAUCAUAGUUCUGGCCAUUUCAACAAUUGUUCUAUUUCUUCUUUCAGAUACACCAUUUUGUUGAGGAGUAUACCCUGCUAUAAGUUGCCUCUGAAUGCCUUCAUUUUUGUAAUAUUCUUUAAAUUCUCGACUUGUGUAUUCACCUCCUCAAUCACUGCGAAUGGUUUUGAUGUUGCAACCUUUUUGCUUCUCAACAAGGGCUUUAAAUUUCUUGAAUGUAGCAAAUGCUUCUGACUUUUCUUUAAAAAAUUAAACACUAGUCAUUCUUGAGAAAUCAUCAAUAAAGAUUAUAAAAUACCUUUGACUUCCAAGAGAUGGAGUCUUCAUUGGUCCACAAAUGUCGGUAUGAAUUAGUUCCAAAAAUACACUUGCUCUCUAAGACACCCCUUUUGGAAAAGACUUCAUGUGUUGCUUUCCCAUGAUACAACUUUGACAUGUAUCCACCUCAGUAUGUAUCUCAGGAAGGCCUUGCACCAUGUCCUUUUGCUUAAGAAGCUUUAAACCAUGAAAAUUCAAGUGACAAUAUCUUUUGUGCCAAAGCCAUGAAUCAUCUACAAUUUCAUUUUUAAUGCAUUGUAAUGAAAUUACAAAGGGAAGUUUCUUUUUAUCAUCUUUACUUCAACAAUGACUUGAUUUGGCUCAAUUUUAUCAUAAAUCUUGCAAUAAUUAUCUCUAAACACAAGAGAAUAACCAUUUUCCAUGAGUUGACCAACACUAAACAAAUUUUCUUCCAAGUCAGGAACAUAAAGAACAUCAUGAAUUUGCUUACCGCAUCCUUUCAUGUUGAUCGAAAUAGUACUUUUACCUUUCGCAUCAACUAAUGCUCCAUUCCCCAUCUUCACUUUAGUAGUGAUGCGCUAUUGACUUAGAGGCGAUUAGAACUUCUAGAAUAGUUAUUAUUAAUUGACAGAAAAGCCUUUCAUCUCCAGUCAUGUGAUUAUUACAACCACCAUCAACAUACCAUUCAUUGCUUUUUGUUGAAUCAUCAGAUUUAGAAGCAAAGAAAAGAUUUUCUUCCCUUUCUUCCUCAUGUUUUUCACAAAAAUUUGCUUGCUCCCGUUUCUUGUGCCAACAAUCCUUUUCAACGUGUCCAAACAUUUUACAAAAGUUACAUUGGGGCUUGCCUUUGUGCCAACAUUUUUCUGCAUUGUGAUUAGUCUUUUUGCAAACUUUACAAAAAAGACUAGAGUUUUUCUCACCUUGUUCUUCAACCUUCUUGGAAGAACCGUCAUGAUCCUCCGUCUCUUUGGGUCGAUCUUUACGAAAAAAACUUCGCUUCUCGUGUGCACGAAAUGAUCCAACUAGCUCUUUGAUGGAAAGCUUAGAAAGAUCUUUCGUCUCCUCAGUGAUAGCAACGAUGUACUCAUAAUUUUCUGUGACACUAAUUAGAAUACUUUCCACAACUUGUUGUUCAAAAAUUGUAUCACUGUGAUUUCUUAUUUCAUUAACAAUAUUCAUGACUCUUGUGCAAUAUUCAUCAAUUUUUUCAGAUUCUAUCAUCUUUAAAUUUUGAAACUCUCUUCUAAGAGUUUAAAGAUUCAUAGUGCGUACCUUUUCGUCACCAUACGCCUCAGUUUCAAUAAAAUUCCAAGCUUCUUUGCAGUCUCACAAGUAGCAAUUUUUGCAAAAUAUGCUCUUGAGACUCCCAUUUGGAUUUUUCUCAAGGAUUUUGCAUCUUGACGAUACUUAGCCUCAAGAUUUUUCAUCUCUGCUGUUGUAAGAUCACCAUCAUUUUCUUGCUCUUCAAAGCCAUUUGCAAUAAUAGUCCACAAACCUUCAGCUUUCAAAUGUGUUCUCAUUCUUAUCUUCCAGUAUUCAAAAUCAGUUCCAUAAAAAAAUGGAGUAAGAACAACUGAAGAAUCAGCACCUUCAUUUGUUUUGGAUGUCAUAUUCUUUUUCUUCACCUAACCUCAGAUUAAGAACGAAAACCUGCACUUGAUAUCAAUUUGUAGGAAAUAUGAAAGGAAAAAUAAUAUAUUUACAAAAUGUUCAAGUUUAUUAUAGGCUACUUAAGGCCAUUUGAUAUGAUUACAAUCAUCAACUACAUCACUAUAUAUACUACUCAAAAUAGAAAACAAAAAGUCUUGCACAAAUAACUAAAUACAUGUAUCACAAUUUACUAGAUACAUGUACUACGAAAUUCUAAAAAGACUUCUUGAAAAACUAAGAUUCAAUUUUGGAAGACUAAACAUUGAUGCAUUAAUUCCAACAAGAGCAACUAGUAGCCGAUGAAGGUGAUUCUACCUUGGUACAUCAAGAAGGAACCAACUUCGACCUCAACAAAAUCGAACAAGGCAAACAUGGAUGGCAUAUGGGUGAGUGGAAAUGUUCAAUCUGGAAAUAAAUUCAUCUACAUAUUUAGCUUUAUUUUCUGGUUGUGAUCCCAUAAAAUUUGAGGAUGCCUAUAAAGAUGUAAAGUGGCAAAAAGCAAUGGAUGUUGAGAUUGCCGCUAUUGGAAAAAACAAUACAUGGGAGCUUAUGGAUCUUCCAAAAGUCCAAAGAUCUAUUGGAGUUAAAUGGAUUUAUAAAACCAAACUCAAUGAGUCUGGUGAAGUUGAUAAGUCCAAGGCGCUCUUGGUUGUGAAAUGAUACAAUCAAGAGUAUGGUGUGGAUCACAAAGAGGUCUUUACCCCGGUAAUUAGACUUGAUACCAUCGGAUUGAUGUUGGCAUUGGCAGCUCAAAACAAUUGGCCGAUUUAUCAACUUGACGUAAAAUCAGCCUUUUGGCACGGAGAGUUGCAAGAGCACAUAUAUGUUGAUUAACCUCCUGAUUAUGUGAUGCAUGAAAGUGAUCAUAAAGUUUAUGGAUUGAAAAAAGGCUUUAUAUGUGCUAAAAAAAGCUCCUCGAGCUUGGUAAAGUCACAUUGAUGCAUAUUUUAAUCUAGCAAAUUUUAGAAAAUGUCCAUACGAGCAUACACUUUAUAUACAAAACUUGCGAAUGGGAAACUUGUGAUUUUAUGCUUGUACGUAAACUAUUUGAUUUAAACUGGGAGUAAUCCUAUAUAUUUUGAAAAAUUUAAGUUAACCAUGACGACUGAGUUUGAUAUGUCUGAUCUUGGCUUGAUGCAUUACUUUUUGGGCAUUGAAGUAAAGCAAUCAAGUAUUGAAAUUUUUACUUCGUAGAAGAAAUAUAUCCAGGAAACAUUACAGAGUUUUGGAAUGCAGAGUUGCAAUUCUGUCACAACACCAACAGAGUUGGAACUGAAAUUGGAAAAGAAUCUUAUAGGAAAGAAGAUUGACAACACUUUUUUCAAACAACUCGUGGGAUGUCUGAUGUAUCUGACAGUCACCAGGCCUAACAUAAUGUAUUUUGUUAGUCUUGUUGGCAGGUAAAUAAAGCAUCGAAAAGAGAUUCUUUUGUUUGUUGCUACAAGAAUUCUAAGGUAUUUUCAAGGUACCAUUGACUACUUGAAUACAAGAAAGAAGGCAAGUCAGAGUUAAUUGGCUUUACAGAUAGUGAUUUUGCUGGAGAUAAAGAAGACAGGAAAAGCACUUUUGUUUAUAUGUUUAUGCUUGGAUUUGAAGUUGUUUCUUGGUGCUCCUAGAAGAAACCAAUUGUUACAUUAUCCACUAUAGAAGCAAAAUUUGUAGUUGCAACUGUGUGCGCUACCCAAGCAAUUUGGUUGAAGAAGAUAUUGGUUGAGCUUCAUGUUAGACAGCAAGAACCAAUCUUAUUUACUGCGAUAAUGUCUCGGCGAUUAAGCUUUCAACGAAUUCAGUAUUGCAUGGAUGGAGCAAACACAUAGAUGUUAAAUUUCACUUCUUGAGAUCUCUCACGAAGGAGAAAGUUAUUGAUAUUGUCUACUGUAGAAGUGAAGACCAAGCUGCUGAUAUCUUCACAAAGUCCCUCAAGUUGGCAACAUUCAGAAAGUUAAGGAAGCUACUUGGAGUUUGCACUUUAAAGGAAAGCAACGAUGAAUAAUGUUAUUAAGCUGAAGUCGUAAGACUUAUCAUUUUAAGGGAGGGUUUAUUAGAUAUUUUAAUAAAUUAAGUUUCUUCAUUCCUAGAUUUCAGGGUAUAUGGUUGUUAUUCCCAAAUUACUGGAAACGUGUGACUUAAUGGGUCAAUUUAAUUUCUUUUAUGGCUUAGUGGUUGAGAUAAUGUAGGAUUAGACAUGCCUUAAUUUCAUAAAGGUAUCACUUAUGCACAUAAUAAUUUGUUAUAGAAAAUAGUUGUCUACAAUUAUCAUAAUAGUAUUAAUAUAAUUACGGUAAAUUAGUUGUAAACAUAUUUCUAUAGUAAGAUAAAUAUUUAUAAAAUUAUGUAUGUAUAUGUGUUAUCUGAGUGAUUUCUACACUUGAUAAAUAUAGUACUAGCAUAUUAUUAUUUUUUACGCAUGAAUCAUAUACUCAUCAAAAUAGUAUUAAAUUGAAGACAAAUUCAUCAAAGACAUGUUAAAAGUAAAUUAAUAAGACAAUCUUUAUAAUAAAAUUAUGAGAUUAUGUAACUAUUAUAUGUUUUAUGCCCUAGAUUUCUUCUAUCGAACAAUAUAUUUAUUAAAAUAGUAUAUUAAAGGUGUGUUCAUCUUUAUAUUCGAUUAAUUACUUUUUAAGGUUUUAAUUGUAAAUUUUAUUAAAUAUAUUACAGGUUAGAUAUAGCUAUCUAUGACUAAUAAUUAUAUCAAAUUUAAAUAAAAAUCAACUUCAGAAUUACUUAAAUUUUAUCUUGAUCCUACUUUGAGAUUAUUAUUUUUUUGGUAAUUAACUGUAUAUUCAUUAAUCAACAAAUGGUAUUGACAGAUUAUGACAAAUUGCAUCACAGUUUGUUAACUAGAAAAAACAAAACUCAGAGGAGAUAUAAGGGAUGUGUUCAAGAUUUCUACUUUUGCCUUCAAAAAGUCUAAUUUCAGAUUAUUUUUUGUUUGGCUCAAACCUAUUCUAUUAAAACAAUACAUAUACAUUUUAAUGCAAUUAAUUUAAGGUGUUCAUCGUUGGAUUUAAUUCAAUUUUAUAUACAUAUUGUUAAGCUUUAAACAUAAUUGAAUAAAUAGUGAUUACCGUUAAUUGCUUUAAAUUAAGAAAAUUUACAUCAAAGUAGAAGUAUAAAAUUACACUAAGGAUUAAGUUUCACUCAAGUUCAUCUUGAUCAAUUAUUUUGAGAGAAUUAUUAUUUGACUCAAAUUUAUUCGAUCGAAAUAAUAUGCAUAUUAAUGUUGAUCUUUCUGCUUGGUUCUAUUUUAAUAUAUUAUUUAAAUUGUAAAUUUCAAAUAAUUUUAAAUGAAUUUAAGAAAAAAUUCUUUAAGGCUCACACAAGCUUCAUCAUGAACAGGUGCUUCAGAAAUAGUUAUUUGACUCAUGUCUCUAUUUUGAAUAUUGAAUACAAUAGAAUACAUAUACAUUUGGAUAUUUGUCAUUUUUUAUGGACUGUCCAAUUAGAAAUACAAAUGCAUUUGAAUAUAAGAGUUCAUCCAUUUUUUGUACAGUGGAAUACAUAUACAUCUGGAUAAUUAUAUUGCAAUCAAUUCAUUAUCAUUUGUUUUUUAACUGAAUUGUUCAAUUAUAUUGAUAUUUUAACAAAAUUAUAUUAAUAAAUAUCGGAAUACAAUUAUUCGCAAUUACAAUAAACUAAGUUAAAACAAACUUAUGUGAAAUGCCUUAACAUUUGAACAAAAACAAUAGCAACAAUGAAGAAUGGUGUACAAUGUAUUUCAUUUUUUUUAAAACUGACUAGAAUUCAAAAGUAUCUGCUGACCAUAUAAUUAUUAGUUUUUAAUGUAAUGAUGUGAGAUUGAGAAUUUUAGGACAUAAUUAACGAGAUUGUUAUAGUACUAAAAAUUACCUUAUAUAAUGCAGUAUAAUUGAAAUUGUAAAAAAAUAAGAAACAAAACAAUAUACAAAUACGGUGAAAUAUUAAUUAAAAUGUACUCUUUUUUUUAAAUAGCACUGAAUUUCAAUAAUCUAGUUAUUUAUAUAAAUUGCUCUAAAAUUAAUCUCAAUUUUAUCAAAAGAAAUUAUUAUAUUUAUUCCACGUACCAAAACGACUCCUCAAUUUUGUAAAGUCCAAAUAGUAGAGGAGGGAGGCCCUUUGAUCGAAAAAAAUUAGAAGAGUCCCAAUUCAAAAUGAGCCCACCAGACAUUCACACCAAUAAACAAUGGUCACUAUGUCCUCAUAGAAGUUAACGAUGGUGAAAACCCUAUAAAUACCUAAUAAGCUCCUCUUUACAUAUCUCACUCCGCCAUAAUAGAUCAAAAGCCCUUAAUUUCUUAUUCCUUCAAGGUUUUGGAUCUGUAGCUGCUCCUUUUUUCUAUCAUUCCCUUUUUGGGCAAAUCAAGAUAUGUUUAUCUAUCUAUUGUUUUGUUUUUUGCCUGAAUUUCGUGUUUUUUAGAACAAGUUGGUGUUCUUCUUUAGUGUGUGUUUGUGAUUUUAGGAUUUUGUUGAAGAUCAAUAAAUGUUGGGUUUGUUUUUGUAGAUUUGGCAUAGGUGGGUGAGAACUGAGUGGUGACUAUUCUGAGUGGAGGUUAUGGCUAGGAAUCGAGAAGAGGGAAGCUCAUCUGAGAUCAAGUUCGAUAAGGGGGUAGAUCUGCUAUGUUUUGGGGUUUGAAUUUGGAAAAAGAGGAGCUUGACGAAGUUGCCUUCAGAUCCCUUUGAUAUGGACAGUAGCAACCAAAGGAUGGGUUUUUCAUCCAUGACUAGUUGGUUAGAGGAUUUUGGCUUUAUGGUAAAUGAGAAUUAAUGAGGUUUGAGAAACUGAUUUGCAAGAUGGGAAUUCAUCAGGAUGCGGGUUUCUAAUUGAUUGAUGGAAAUUGUGAGCCACUGGGGAUGAAUUUCAUAGAGGGGUUGAACAGUGGUCAUGGUCUAAUGGAUGGUGAAUGAUUAUUGUGGUGUGGAUGGAGGUAUUCAUCGUAGGCAUUAUUGGUUGUUGUCCUUGGUUAUUAAGGCUUGGGGGGACCUAUUUGUAGUUGAAAGAAUAUGCAAGCCUUUAUGGGAUGUUGUUGUUGGAGAUCCAGUUUUAUGGAGAAAAAUUAACAUAGUUCAUCCAUUUUGUACUAACAUCACAAAUGAUAUCCUUAUAAACUUGACGAAUAGAGCUCAAGCCCAUCUUCAUUCGCUCAGUCUAUUUCACUACUCAAAGCUCACUGAUGUUGGUUUGAAGCUCAAAGGUUAGUUGUUUCGCUUGUGUUUUUUGCUUAGUUAUUAGGAAUUGUAUUAGCUUAACAGUUAUAAGUAGUAAGACAUCUAUUAAGCACACAGUUAGUUUAGAAACCCUAACUUGUAAACCACAAUUUUUCAUACUAAACUUAUAUGCAAUUUGAAUUUCCAUGUUGAGGUCUCUUCAGCACGCCUCAGUACUCAUUAGGUUAUUCCAGGGCCUUGCCAACAUUUGACAGACAAGAGAAAUGUCCUCUGAUUGAUGCAACACUUGAAGAAUGCCUAUAUAUAUGGUAAUAACUAAUCUCUCCAUAACUUGUGUAGGAGUCUUCUAUUGUUCCCAGACGAGAAAGACAGGUGAGGGCGAAAUGGACAGUCUCCAUGGCUUCACCAAGUAAGCAUCGCAAACCCCAAAGGAUAAUUUUUGAAAAAUAUCUAUUGUAUGUCUGGUUUCAUUUUGUUAUUUGUUGUAUUUAGUAUUGGAAUGAAACAAAGCAGAAAGGAUUUAGUAUUCCUAUGGUCUACCCCAUCUAUUUAGUCGUUUAUGUCACAUAAUUUCGUUAUUGUUAAUUUUCCCAUAUGUGUAUCCCUUUUUCAAACUAGUUGGCAUGCUUUAAUUUAUGCAGAGUUUGUUUAUCCACAAGUUAAGGACAAAAUAUGUUUAUACUCUAUCCUUUAUAAAUCAAACUUGGCGAGAUUUUACUUGUUAUCAUUGUUGUUGUUGUUGUUAUGGUCUACCCAAACUAUUUUGGAUUAAUGUGUAUAUAGUAGGAGUAGAACUUUUCCAAGAGUGUCACUUGAUUAUUAAAAACAUUGUUUUUCCAGCUUAUAUUUUGUAUAUCUACAACCCCUCUCAUUCGCACUUCCACAUCAUGGAACAAUUUCGUGAAUGUUUGGACUAAGGUUGCAGCCAUGGCCCUCUAAACGCGAUAUGGAUAGAAAUCAGCCCAAAAGUUUGAGAGAUUUUGGUGGGAUUGAAUAAACCAACCUGCCUAUUGUAGGCUAGCUCUUUUUGUGUCUCCAAAAUUUCUCCAUUAUGACAUAACUGAUUUAUUUAAAUUUUUCUUUCACUUUCAUCUCGACUAUGUUUGAUUCUGUGUUUUCUUCUUUUUGUAAGUUGGAUUUCACUAGGCAUGUUGUUAUUGAUGAUGAUGAUAUUUUUCAAUAGGUAAAAUAUGGAAGAGCUCCUUCUAGUGUUGAUAGUUUUAGAUGAAUAAAUAUUAAGGUGGAAAGCGUCCAUCUUAAAAAUUGAAUUACCAUUUUACCUCUCUACUAAAUUAAGAUUUAAUUAAAUAAUAAUAUUUUAAUUAUCUAAAGAUUGAAUUAUAUAAAAUUAUAAAUGCAUUUUUCUCAUAUUAAACAAUGAAAUUGACCUAGAUUUAGAUUGAAUUAUAUUCCCAAAAUAGAAAGCAGAAAUACACUAGAUUAGGAACGCUUUCUCUCCUAAGGAAGUUUUCAAACAAACUAAAAAUUCAAAGUUUCUCUUUCUCAUAUCAAGAUGGUGAUUUUCUAAUCGAACAAGAAUAAAUCGUAGUUGGUUCUAAAAGAAGUAACUAUAUAAAAACCAAUUUAAUACAAAUAUAAAUUGGUUGAAAAGUAAAUAAUGAAUAUCAAAUAGUAGGAAUAUAUAAACAAUAUGUUCAUAUGCUAUUUUACCAUUUCCUUAUGUUGCUAGCAUAGACCUUUUCUUUUAUGAACAUCAUCAAAGUGAUAGAGUAUUGACACAGCAUGAGGAAAUAUUUUUCCAUACACUCGGCAUACAAUUAAAUUAUUAAAAAAUCACCGUUAUGUUUUUCUUAACUAAGUUGAAUUAAUAUAUGAUUUAACUUACUUGAGAGAAAAAUAACAUAUACUCAUACUAAUUUAGUUGCAUGUCAAGUGUGUGACAAAAUAUUUCUUUAUAAUUUACCACUAGUCCACUACUCUAUCAUUUUGAUCAAGUUCAUGGAAGAAAAUGUUAUAUGAUAACAAUACUACGAAAUGCUAAAAAAUAAUGCAUGAAUAUGUUAGUUUAUAUAGUAUUAUUAUUUGAUAUUCGUUAUUUAUUCGUCGAUAAAUUUAUAUUUGCGUUACGUCAAACUUUUUGUUAACUCUUUAAGAUCGACUAUGAUUCUUUGUUUGAUCAGAAAGUCACAAUCUUAAUAAGUAUUUUGAAUUUUUAGUUUGUUCAAAACAUACAAGGGAAAACAUUUCAAUCUAGGGUGUUUCUCCCUUCUAUUUUUAGAUGGUGAUUCAUUCUAGAUCAACGCAAAUCAACAUUUUUAAUAUGUAGAAGAUGAACGUUGAAUUAUUAGUUUAAGUAAAACUUCCUUACCAGAGCAGCGAUCUAUUUAGAGUGAAGUCAAAUGUUAUAUGUAUGAGUUGUUCACCGUAGUAUAGUUAUGACACCAAUACUACCAAAUUUAGCAACUAGAUAGGAGCAAUGAAAUCUUUCUGCAAUGAACUCUUUUUUCUUAUAAGACUUGCCAAUCACCAUUCAAAAAUAGAAGAGAGAAACAACAUAGAUAGGAGCGCUAUUCCUUGUAAAAAAGUUUUUAAAAAUUCAAAGUUCUUCUUAUCAAGUUGCUGAUUUUAUGAUCUAACAAGAAUGAAUCAUAGUCUGUCCUAAAAGACUUAACAAAAAAAACAGACUUAACACAUAUAAAUUGGUUCGAAAAUAAAUAUAAUAAUGAAUAUCAAAUUAUUAUACCAAAUAGUAAUAACAUAUAAACUAAUAUAUUCAUGUGUGAUUUUACCAUUUUCUUGUAUUGCUAGCAUAUAAGCUUUUCUUUUAUGAACUUGAUCAAAAUGAUAGAGUUGUUACACACAUGAGGAAAUAUUUCGCAACAUACGUGCAAUUAAAUUAGUAUAAGUCAUCAUUAUGUUUCUCUUAACUAAGGUGAAUUAAUGUAUGAUUCAGCUUGAUUAAGAAAAACAUAAUGGUGGUUUAUACUAAUUUAAUUGCAUGUCUAGUGCGUGACAAAAAUAUUUCUUUAUGAUGUACUACUACGCUAUCAUUUUUAUCAAGUUCAUGAAAGAAAAUGUUAUAUGCUAACAAUACAACAAAGAAAUAGUAAAAAAACAUACAUGAAUAUGUUAGCAUAUAUAGUAUAAUUAUUUGAUUUAAUAAUUUGAUAUUCAUUAUUUAUUUGUCGAUAAAUUUAUAUUUGCGUUAAGUCAAUUUUUUUGAUUACCUCUUUAGGACGGACUAUGAUUCAUGCUUGUUAGAUCAUAAAAUCACCAACUUGAUAAGAAUUUUUAGGCGUUCAGAUGUAAUUUUGACUAUUAUUGUCGUCUUUGAAUUUUUUGUUGGACAUUUUGUUGGUUAUUAGUUAAUUUCUUAAGUCAAAUUUGUAUUCUGAUUAGUAAUAGCUAGUUUUCAUAUUCUAUCUCAUUUCUCAAUCAAAUAGACUGAUUAAGAAUUUGUAGUGAUUCUUUAAACUCUGUUUCUCUUAUCAUGAAAUUUGUUAGAGUUGUCUUACAUUAGUUAUCCUUUAAAAUGUCUAUAUAAGCUGAAGUGCUUGAUGAUCAUAAUAGUUUAGGGAGUUCUUAUAUGGUAGAAGAGCAGAUUCAGCAGAAUGUCAAUUUUUAGUGCACUAUCAUUUGUUUGCACUUAAUGGGAGUCUGAAUCUUAAUCAUUCUGAUUCAGUCUAUUUAAGUGCGUUUGGUUUUUAGUGAUUAACAUUCAUUUCAUUAAGUCAAUUUGUUUAUUUUUUUAAAAAAACUCUUAAUGGACCUUAAUGAGUCUAAAUGAUCAACUCUAUUAAAUAAGUAUGUGUUCUUUUCUUAAACAGAUUCUCUUCUUCGUUGCUUCUCUUCUGGACAAGUUUCAAGUUUCUCCCUCUUCUUUUCCAAUCAAGUAUCAUUUUUUUUUCUUUAAAUAAGUUUUCAUAAUCUUUUACAAGUAUUUAUUUAAUAUUUCUAAUAUAUAAAAUAUUCUUGGGUGAAUUGAUAAUUAUGAAGAACUCUUCUUGUCACAAUUCAUUUGUUGUCAAAACUUCUUUGGAAGAAGUUAUCAUUGUUUCUUGAGAAAAAUUAUUUUGAAAAAACAAAUAAUUCAUCUUUUUUUUGGGUUGAGUGAUAAUCUUAUUUUUGAAACAAUUGUUUGGAAGAAGUAUUUUUUGUUUGGAUCAUAUCUAUUAUUGACAUAGUGUUUAAUUUCAAAUUUAAAAAAAAAUAUUAAAAACUAAAUUAGACUUCUUAAUUUAGUUUUCUAUGAAUGUUUUUUUUUAUUGUCGUAAGUCUUUAUUCUUAUUUUGUAAUUAUUACAUUUUCAUAUUCAUUACAAUUUACAUAUGUAUUUCCAUGAGUUUUAGUCAUUCUAACAUAUCUAUAAAAAUUUACAUUAAACACACGUGCGAAACACGUGCUUAAAAACUAGAAAACAAAAAAAGACACAAAUACUGUGAAAUAUUAAUUAAAUGUAGUCUUUUUUUUUGGAAAUAAGACUCAACUACAAUAACCUAGUUAUUUAUAUAAUUUGCUCUAAAAUUAAUUUGAAUUUUAUCAAAAGAAAUUAUUAUCUUUAUUCCACGUACCAAACGAUUCCUCAAUCUUGUAAAGCCCAAAUAAUAGAGGAGGCCUUUUGUUCGAAGAAAAGAAUAGGAGGCCCAAUUCAAUAAAAUGAGCCCACAAGUCGCUCACACCAAGAAACAAUGGUCACACCAAGCCAAUGGUCACGUCAAGGCCUGGAACCGAGGAGAGGGAAGAUCAUCUGAGAUCAAAUUCGAAGGGAGGGUGGAUUUCAUAAGUUUUGAGGUUUGAAAUGGGGAAAAGAGGAGCUUGAUGAAGUUGCAAAUUUUUUGACUUGGGAUUCGUUUGAUAUGGACAGUAGUAACCAAAGGAUGGUUUUCACCCAUCACUAGUUGGUUAGAGGAUUUUGGCUUUAUCGUAGAUGAGAAAUAUUGAGGUAGAAAAACUUAUUCACAUGAUGGGAAUUCAUCAAGGUGCGGGUUUCGAGUUGAUUGAUGGAAAUUGUGAGCCGUUAGGGAUGAUUUCAGAGAUGGGUUGAACGGUGGUCAUGGUAUGGUGGAUGGUGAAUGAUCAUUGUGGUGUGGAUGGAGGUAAUCCAUCACAUGCGUUAUUUGGUGUUGUUGGUUAUUGUCCCAAGGUUAUUUAAGCUUGGGGGACCUAUUUGUAGUUGAAAGAGUAUGCAAGCCACUUUUAUGGAGAAAUAUUAACAUAGUUCAUACAUUUUGUACUAUUAUUAUAAUUGAUAUCUUCAUAAAUUUGACGAAUAGAGCUCAAGGACAUAGACCGAUCAAGAAUUUCUUUAAAAUCUGCUUUUUGAUUAAUGAUUCAUCGACCACUAGAUUCAAGUGUCUCACCCAAUUCUUAAACUAGGUGGCUUGGUUGAUUUGCAAGUUAGUUAAAAUCAGCCAUAUGAAUCCUUGUAUCAUAAAUAUUCUAUUCGAGCCAAUAAUGUUUUAUAAUUUGCACUUCGGUAUUAUAUAACGGCCGUUUGAGUUGAAGAUAAGUUAUUUGGCAUUAUUUUUUUAUUGAUUGUUUGAUUUGUAGUAUAUUAUUAAAAACAACUCCAUUGCAUAAAGUAUUAUACAUUAUGAUAAAUAAUAAACUUUAAUAAUUUAGAGGGUGCAAAUCUACAAAAUGGAGAAACACAUUGAUAAUGGCAUCUUGAUUAUUAUUUAAGAAUGAUUCUGGCUUCACAAAUUUAAAUUCAUUGAUGCUUAAUUACGUAAUACGAACUUUAGUUGUUCUUUCUACAUGGUUUGCCAACUUUAAUUUUCUUUUUUCAUAUUCUUGAUGUAUUUAUUAUUAUUUUCUAUUACUUAUUCAACUUUUAUAAUCUUAACAUUCAUAAAUCUCAUCUUUUCAUAUUCAUAACCUCCAAAUAGUUAAACUAAGACUUUAAGAUAUCUUUUGAUACUCCUUCUAUUGUAUCUAUAUAAAUUCAAUUUCUUUAUCUCAUGAAAUGUCUACCAAGAUUAUAAGGCUAUUAUUUUUGUUUAUAGUUAGAGUAGAUGAAGAAGAAUCUUGAAUUUUGAUAGGAUAUGGAAUGAGACGAUAAAAAGUUAGAGCAUUAUGUACUAAUUUUUUACUUACUUUUCAUCUUUAUAUGCAUCAGUAUUAUAAGAAUAAUGUAUACAUUGUAUUUUUUUAAAAAAAUUGUUUCUUUUUGUCUUUUUUCUCUGUUAGGCUUCUUAAUUUAGUUUUCUAUGAAUAUUUUUUUAUUGUCGUUAGUCUUUACUCUUAUUUUGUAAUUAUUACAUUCAUUACAAUUUACAUAUGUAUUUCCAAGAGUUUUAGUCAUUCUAACAUAUGUAUAAAAAUUUAUAUGAAACACACGUGCGAUGCACGUGCUCAAAAAAUAGAAAACAAAAAUUACUCAAAUAUGGUGAAAUAUUGAUUAAAAUGUAGUCAUUUUUUUGGAAAUAAGACUCAACUUCAAUAACAUAGUUAUUUAUAUAACUUGCUAUUAAUUUGAAUUUUAUCAAAAGAAAUUAUUAUCUUUAUUUCACGUACCAAACGAUUCCUCAAUCUUGUAAAGCCCAAAUAGUAGAGGAGGCCUUUUGUUCGAAUAAAAGAAUAGGAGGCCCAAUUCAAUCAAAUGAGCCCACAAGUCGUUCACAACCAAGAAACAAUGGUCACUCUGUCCUCCAUAGACUAUAAAUACCCUAUAAUUUGGUCUUUAUAUAUCACUUACUCCGUCGUUAUAGUUCAAAAGCUCUUCUUUUCUCAAUUCCUUGUAGAUUUUUGGUGGUGAAGCUGCUCUUUUUACCACCAUUUUCCUUUUUGGGAAAAUCCAGGUAUGUUUUCUAUCUAUUUUUUUCAUUUUCCAUUUUUUUUUGGAUUUUGUGUUUUUCAGGAUCAAGUUAGUGUUUUUGUUUAGUUUGUGUUUGCGAUUUUAUGGUUUUAUUGAUGAUCAAUUAAUGUUGGGUUUGUUUUUGUGGAUUUGGAGUAGAUGGGUGAGUGGUGAGUGGUGAUUGUUUUCAGUGCACGUCAAGGCCUGGAAUCGAGGAGAGGGAAGAUCAUCUGGGAUCAAAUUCGAUAAGGGAGGGUGGAUUUCGUAAGUUUUGAGGUUUGAAAUGGGGAAAAGAGGAGCUUGAUGAAGUUGCAAAUUUUUUGCCUUGGGAUUCCUUUUUAUGGACAGUAGUAACCAAAGGACGGUUUUCAGCCAUCACUAGUUGGUUAGAGGAUUUUGGCUUUAUGGUAGAUGAGAAUUAUUGAGGUUGAAAAAUGAUUCACAUGAUGGGAAUUCAUCAAGGUGUGGGUUUCGAGUUUAUUGAUGGAAAUUGUGAGCUGUUAGGGAUGAAUUUCAGAGAGGGGUUGAACGGUGGUCAUGGUAUGGUGGAUGGUGAAUGAUCAAUUUGGUGUGGAUGGAGGUAAUCCAUCACAUGCGUUGAUUGGUGUUGUUGGUUGUUGUCCCUGGGUUAUUUAGGCUUGGGGGGCCUAUUUGAAGUUGAAAGAGUAUGCAAGCCACUUUUAUGGAGAAAUAUUAACAUAGUUCAUACAUUUUGUACUAUUAUUAUAAUUGAUAUCUUUAUAAAUUUGAUGAAUAGAGCUCAAGGACAUAUAUCGAUCACGAAUUUCUUUAAAAUCUGCUCUUUGAUUAGUGAUUCAUCGGCCACUAGAUUCAACUAUCUCACCAUAAUUUUAAACUAGGUGGCUCGGUUGAUUUGCAAGUUAGUUAGGAUCAGCCAUAUGAAUCCUCAUAUCAUAAAUAUUCUAUCCGAGUCAAUAUUGUUUUAAAUUUUGCACUUUAGUAUUAUAUAAUGGCCGUUUGAGUUGAAGAUAAGUUAUUUGGGAUUAUUUUUUUUAUUGAUUGUUUGAUUUGUAGCAUAUUAUUAAAAACAACUCCAUUGCAUAAAGUAUUAUCUCCUUUAUGAUACAUAACAAACUUUAAUAAUUUCAAGGGUGCAAAUCGGCAAAAUAGAGAAACACAUUGAUAAUGACAUCUUGAUUAUUAUUUAAGAAUGAUUUUAGCUUCACAAAUUUAAAUUAAUUGAUGCUUAAUUACGUGAAACAAACUUUAGUUGUUCUUUCUACAUGGUUUGCCAACUUUAAUUUUCUUUUUUCAUAUUCUUCAUUUAUUUAUUAUUAUUUUCUAUUACUUAUUCAACUUUUGUACUCUUAAUAUUCAUAAAUCUCAUCUUUUCAUAUUCAAAACCUCCAAAUAUUUAAACUAAAACUUUAAGAUAUCUUUUGAUAUUCCUUCUAUUGUAUCUAUAUAAAUUCAACUUCUUUAUCUCAUUAAAUCUCUACAAAGAUUAUUAGACUAUUAUUUUUGUUCUAUAGUUAAAGUAGAUGAAGAAGAAUCUUGAAUUUUGAUAGGAUAUGGAAUGAGUUGAUAAGAAGUUAGAGAAUUAUGUACUAAUUUUAUACUUAUUUUUCAUCUUUAUAUACAUCAGCAUUAGAAGAAUGAUGUAUACAUUGUAUUUUUUUUUGAAAUCUGUUUCUUUUUGUCUUUUUUCUCUGUUAGACUUCUUAAUAUAGUUUUCUAUGAAUUUUUUAUUAUCUUUAUUCUUAUUUUGUAAUUAUUACAUUUUAUUAUUCAUUAGAAUUUGCAUAUGUAUUUCCAUGAGUUUUAAUCAUUCUAACAUAUCUAUAAAAUUUACAAGAAACAAACGUGCGAAGCACGUGCUUAAAAACUAGGAAACAAAAAAAAUACACAAAUACGGUGAAAUAUUGAUUAAAAUGUAGUCAUUUAUUUGGAAAUAAGACUCAAUUUCAAUAACCUAGUUAUUUAUAUAAUUUUCUCUAAAGUUAAUUUUGAAUUUUAUCAAAAGAAAUUAUAAUCUUUAUUCCACGUACCAAACGAUUCCUCAAUCUCUUAAAGCCCAAAUAGUAGAGGAGGCCUUUUGUUCGUUAAAAAAGAAUAGGAGGCCCAAUUCAAUAAAAUGAGCCCACAAGUCGUACACACCAAGAAACAAUGGUCACUAUGUCCUCCAUAGAUCUUACCAAUGGUGAAAAGACUAUAAAUACCCUAUAAUUUGGUGUUUAUAUAUCACUUACUCCGUCGUUAUAGUUCAGAAGCCCUUCAUUUCUCAAUUCCUUCUAGAUUUUUGGUGGUGUAGCUGCUCUUUUUACCACCAUUUCCCUUUUUGGGCAAAUCCAGGUAUGUUAUCUAUUUUUUUUUUUCCAUUUUGUUUUUUGUUUGAAUUUUGUGUUUUUCAGGAUCAAGUUAGUGGUUUUGUUUAGUUUGUGUUUGCGAUUUUAUGGUUUUAUUGAAGAUCAAUUAAUGUUGGGUUUGAUUUUGUUGAUUUGGCAUAGAUGGAUGAGUGGUGAGUAGUGAUUGGUUUCAGUGGACGUUAAGGCCUGGAAUCGAGGAGAGGGAAGAAUAUCUAGGAUCAAGUUCGGUAAGGGAGGGUGGAUUUCGUUUGUUUUGGGGUUUGAAAUGGAGAAAAGAAAAGCUUGAUGAAGUUGCUAAUUUUUUGCCUUGGGAUCCCUUUGUUAUGGACAGUAUUAACCUAAGGAUGGUUUUCAGCCAUCACUAGCUGGUUAGAGGAUUUUGGCUUUAUUGUAGAUGAGAAUUAUUGAGGUUGAAAAAACUUAUUCGCAAGAUGGGAAUUCAUCAAGGUGUGGGUUUAGAGUUGAUUGAUGGAAAUUGUAAGCUGUUAGGGAUGAAUUUCAGAGAGGGGUUGAACGGUAUCAUGGUAUGGUGGAUGGUGAAUGAUCACUGUGGUGUGGAUGGAGGUAAUCCAUCACAUGCGUUGAUUGGUGUUGUUGGUUGUUGUCCCUGGGUUAUUUAGGCUUGGGGGACCUAUUUGUAGUUGAAAGAUUAUGCAAGCCACUUUUAUGGAGAAAUAUUAACAUAGUUCAUACAUUUUGUACUAUUAUUAUAAUUGAUAUCUUUAUAAAUUUGGUGAAUAGAGCUCAAGGACAUAGAUCGAUCAAGAACUUCUCUAAAAUCUGCUCUUUGAUUAGUGAUUCAUCGACCACUAGAUUCAACUAUCUCACCCUAUUUUUAAACUAGGUGGCUCAAAUGAUUUGCAAGUUAGUUAGGAUCAGACAUAUGAAUCCUUAUAUCAUAAAUACUCUAUCCGAGUCAAUAUUGUUUUAAAUUUUGCACUUCAAUAUUAUAUAACGGCCGUUUGAGUUGAAGAUAAGUUAUUUGGGAUUAUUUUCUUAUUGAUUGUUUGAUUUGUAGUAUAUUAUUAAAAACAACUCCAUUGCAUAAAGUAUUAUCAUUUAUGAUACAUAACAGACUUUUAUAAUUUCAAGGGUGCAAAUCGGCAAAAUGGAGAAACAUGUUGAUAAUGGCAUCUUGAUUAUUAUUUAAGAAUGAUUCUAGCUUCACAAAUUUAAAUUCAUUGAUGCUUAAUUACGUGAUACAAACUUUAGUUGUUCUUUCUACAUGGUUUGCCAACUUUAAUUUUCUUUUUCAUAUUCUUCAUUUAUUUAUCAUUAUUUUCUAUUACUUAUUCAACUUUUAUACUCUUAAUAUUCAUAAAUCUCAUCUUUUCAUAUUCAAAACCUUCAAAUAUUUAAACUAAAACUUUAUGAUAUCUUUUGAUAUUACUUCUAUUGUAUCUAUAUAAAUUCAACUUCUUUAUCUUAUGAAACCUCUACCAAGAUUAUUAGGCUAUUAUUUUUGUUCUAUAGUUAAAGUAGAUGAAGAAGACUCUUGAAUUUUGAUAGGAUAUGGAAUGAGUCGAUAAGAAGUUAGAGAAUUACGUACUAAUUUUAUACUUAUUUUCAUCUUUAUAUACAUCAGUAUUAUAAGAAUAAUGUAUACAUUGUAUUUUUUUUUUGAAAUCUGUUUCUUUUUGUCUUUUUUUCUCUGUUAGACUUCUUAAUUUAGUUUUCUAUGAAUGUUUUUUAUUGUCGUAAGUCUUUAUUCUUAUUUUUGUAAUUAUUACAUUUUAUUAUUCAUUAUAAUUUAUGUAUGUAUUUCCAUGAGUUUUAGUCAUUCUAACAUAUCUAUAAAAAUUUACAUGAAACACACGUGCGAAGCACGUGCUCAAAAACUAGGAAACAAAAAAAUACACAAAUAAAGUGAAAUAUUGAUUAAAAUGUAGUAAUUUUUUUGAAAAUAAGACUCAACUUCAAUAACCUAGUUAUUUAUAUAAUUUGCUCUAAAAUUAAUUUGAAUUUUAUCAAAAGAAAUUAUUAUCUUUAUUCCACGUACCAAACGAUUCCUCAAUCUUCUAAACCCCAAAUAGCAGAGGAGGCCUUUUGUUCGAAAAAAAGAAUAGGAGUCCCAAUUCAAUAAAAUGAGCCUACAAGUCGUUCACACCAAGAAAAAAUGGUCACUCUGUCCUCCAUUGAUCUUAUCAAAGGUGAAAAGACUAUAAAUACCCUAUAAUUUGGUCUUUAUAUAUCACUUACUCUGCCGUUAUAGUUCAAAAGCCCAUCAUUUCUCGAUUCCUUCUAGAUUUUUGGUGGUGUAGCUGCUCUUUUAACCACCAUUUCCCUUUUUGGGCAUAUCCAGGUAUGUUAUCUAUUUUUUUCAUUUUCCAUUUUGAUUUUUUGUUUGAAUUUUGUGUUUUUCGGGAUCAAGUUAGUGUUUUUGUUUAGUUUGUGUUUGCGAUUUUAUGGUUUUAUUGAAGAUCAAUUAAUGUUGGGUUUGUUUUUGUGGAUUUGGUGUAGAUGGAGUAGUGGUGAGUGGUGUUUUUUUUCAGUGGACGUUAAGGCCUGAAGGGAGGGUGGAUUUCGUAAGUUUUCGUGUUUGAAAUGGGGAAAAUAGGAGCUUGAUGAAGUUGCUAAUUUGUUGCCUUGGGAGUCGUUUAAUAUGGACAGUAGUAACCAAAGGAUGGGUUUUUUCAGCCAUGACUAGUUGGUUAGAGGAUUUUGGCUUUAUGGUAGAUGAGAAUUAUUGAGGUUGAAAAACUUAUUCGCAAGAUGGUAAUUCAUCAAGGUGCGGGUUUCGAGUUGAUUGAUGGAAAAUUAAGAUCAAAGUCAAAGAAGUCAAGAGUCAAGUCUAGAAGUUAAGAACCAAGUCAAAACAAAGUUCUUCAAAGUUUUCAAGACUUUUUAGCAAUGUUUUAACUAUGUUUUAAAGACUUAAGAGUUGAGUUCAUCAAAGAGAAAAGUUGAAGUUCUUUCCUUAAAGAAGUAUAUGGGGACUAUGUAUUCCCAAAGAGUUUUAAAGAAAUGUUUUCACAUUUAAACAAGAACAGGAACUGAGAUUUCCAAAGAGCAUUCGAGCUAGUUUUGAGAAAACCGCAAAAGCUUUCUAAAUGAAGCAAGCAGGCAAACUGAGAUUUUCAAGAUAGCUUUUAUGCUAUGUUUUGACAACUAAUCUCAAAUCACAGAAGAAGUAUGUGUUAAAAACAUAAGAUCCAGUAUAUUUUGGGAGUAGUAUUGAGCACCGAUUUAGGAACGACCAUGAGUUCAUAUAACUCACAUCUCCAUAAAAUCAUGUAGCCACCAUGGGUAAAAAUAAGGUCAUACUUUUUAGAUGAACCCUUUUCACAAUAGACUAGUGGAUCCAUUAGGCAAUUCAGGUCUUAAACCUUUGGCCGGGUAUAGGAUGCACUGGUAGCGUGAGGUAGAUCGUUGUAUCAUCACUAUAGCUCUUAUGUGAUGGUUGUCGGCUAGAGAAACGUCCACAAAAGUUAUUGUUUUCUUAUAAACAAAAUUUAUUUGUAUUUUGACAUGCAUCUCAUAGUCAAUUGUAUCUAUGCAUAUACACAGAGUUUCCAAUAUAUUUUUAAACAUCUUUUCUUUGUAUUGCACUUGUGUUUAAAUUUUUUUAUAUUAAAAUUAGUAGUUAUGUUGAGUUAGUUGAGCCAGGUAAGUUCUUCAGUUUUUUUAGACUCUUUCUAGCCUAUGUUGUUUAGCAUUCCAACUCGCAUACUCGUACAUGCAAUGUACUGAUACCAGAUGACAUGCAUCGUGUUAUAAUGCAUACAAAGGUAAUGAGGAUCGGCAUCCAGCGCACCAUUUAUCCAGUAUAGCACUCCAGAGUCAGUUGGUGAGCCUCCUUGCAUUUAAAGGACUCCUUUUUUAUAUAUAUAUUAGUUGUUAGGAUGUUGUGGGUUCUGACCAAACAUCCAUCUCAGAUGUUUAGAGACAUCAUAGAUAGUCAAAUGUUAGUCCUUUGAGUCGUUACAUUUUCAUCUAUUAUGUUAUAGACUUGGGUGGGCAGCUUGCCAAGUUGAAUGUUUAAUUUUUAGACAUUCUCAGAUUACGUUAUUAUUCAGUUCAGUUAGAUGCUAUUAAUCCUUAUAAAUGUGCAUAUAAUCUUCCACUGAGUUAAGUAAGUCAUGUCAAGGGUCCGCUCAAGGCAACCAAUGGUUUCGAGUGCUGGCCACACCUAGGGUAUAGGUUUGGGGCGUGACAAUUUGUGAUGUUAUUCUGUAUUUUAUAAUCACUAUAUAAUAUUUUUUAUGAACUUGAUCAAAAUGAUUAAAUAGUAGCACAACAUGAGGAAAUAUUUUAAUACAUACUCGACAUACAAUUAAAUUAGUACAAGUCGAUCACCAUUACAUUUAUUUAAUUAAGCUGAAUCAAAUAUUAUUUAAACUAGAAAGCUCCUAUCUAAAAUAUUGAAUUACCAUUUUGCCUCUCUAAUAAAUUAAAAUUUUAGUAAUAUCUGAUUAAAUAAUAAUAUUUUAAUUAUAUAAAGAUUGAAUUAUAUAAAUACAUCUUCCUCAUAUAAAUAAUGUAAUUUCCCUACAACAAAAUUGUUGAAGAAAGCUUUAAGACUGAUGAAACAUGUCGAAGGAACAAUAGACUAAUGGAACAUGUCGAACAAUAGACUCAUAAAGGCAAAAUAUUUCUGUUGUUAUAUGUGGAUGAUAUUAUUGUCACAUAAUGUAAUCCGUCUCAUGUCCCACAGUUGGUGCUAUAACUUGGGAAGGAGUUCACUUGAAAGAUCUUGACUCUUUACACGUCUUUCUAAGGUGAAGUAUUUCGAAGGAGGAGUAUUCACUUAAAUCAAAGAAAGUAUGCUGGUGAAUUGUUCGCGAAGAAAGAGAUGAUUUUGGCAAAGGUUGUAUUCACUCCUUUGGCUCAAAACCAUGGUCUGCAUGAAGCUGUAGAAAGUCUUUUAGAUGCCUCUUCAGAAUGAUAGUAGGGAGCCUUCAAUAUUUGACCCCACUUAUGCUGUAAAUUUAGCAACCCAAUUUCGCGAAGCCCAAACAUUAAAUAUAUUCAUGGGGUAAAAAGGAUUCUCAAGUACAUCAAAGAUACUAUACACUUUGGUCUUAGAAUUAUUUCACAAUCACCAUAUAGGUUGUGGCUACUUAGAUUCCGAUUGGGGAUGUUGUACCACUACUAAGAGAUCAACUACAAGCUAUAACAUCUACCUAGGUGUCAAUUGUAUAUUUUGGACCUCCAAGAAACAUACCAUAGUAGCCCGAUCGAGUGUUGAAGCUAAGUAUAGAGCACUAGCCUCCACAGCCGCAGAACUGACUUAGACUUUGUAUCUUCUACAUGACCUUAGAGUGUUUCUUCGAUCUGAUCCUACAUUGUAUUGCGAUAACAUGAGUGCCUUGUACAUGACAGUUACUUUAGUUAUGCAUGCUAGAACCAAACAUGUUGAAACGAACUAUCAUUUUUUUCAUGAGAAAGUGGCCAUGAGACAACUUUAGUCACUUUGUGUAGUCUAAGGAUAAGCUAGUUGACAUUCAUACCAAAGUCUUCACAAAGCAUGUUUACUCUGAUUUUUACAGCAAGCUAGGAUUUACAGAUCGUGCACUCGACUCAAAUUUAUUCGAUCAAAAUAAUAUGCGUACCAGUGUUGAUCAUUCUGUUUGAUUCUAUUUUAAUAUAUAAUUUAAAUUGUGAAUUUCAAAUAUAAUUUUAAAUUUGUAAUUAGAUUGCAUCUAGUUAAAUUUAAUUGACUAUUUAAAAAGAAUUUAAGAAAAACCUCGUUAAGGCUCCCACAAGGCUCAUCAUAGAAUGCAUAUACAUUUGGAUAUUUGUCAUCUUUUCGUGGAUAGUCCAAUUAGAAAUAUAAGUGCAUUUGGAUACAUAAACACAUUAAUAGAUUUGAAUGUAGCAGUGCAUCCAUUUUUAAAACAAUGGAAUACAUAUACUUCUGGAUAAUUAUAUUGCAAUAAAUUCAUUAUCAUUUGUUUUUUUCCUGAAUUGUUCAAUUGUAUUUAUCAUUAACAAAAUUGACUUAAGAAUAUCAUAAUACAAUUAUUCUUGCCAUGGAGUUCGUCUGUUGGAAAUUAAAACAAAUAAAUUCAUUCGCAAUUACAAUAAAUUAAAUUAAAACAAACUUAUGUGAAAUGCCUAAACGUUUGAACAAAAACAAUGGCAACAAUGAAGAAUGGUGUACAAUGUAUUUCAAUUCUUUUAAAAUUGACUAGAAUUCAAAAGUAUAUGCACUGGCCAUAUAAUUAUUAGUUGUUUAUGUAAUGAUGAGAAAUUGAGAAUUUAAGGACAUAAUUAACAAGAUUGUUAUAGUACCAGAAAUUACCUUAUAUAAUGCAGUAUAAUUAAAAUUAUAUAAAAAAAAAGAUACAAAAACAUACACAAAUACAGUCAAAUAUUGAUUAAAAUGUACUCAUUUUUUGUAAAUAGCAUUGAACUUCAAUAAUAUAGUUAUUUAUAUAAAUUGCUCUAAAAUUAAUCUCAAUUUUAUUAAAAGAAAUUAUUAUAUUUAUUCCACGUACCAAAAAGACUCCUCAAUCUUGUAAAGCCCAAAAUAGAAGAGGAGGCCCUUUGAUCGAAAAAACUAGAGGAGGGCAAUUCAAUAAAUGAGCCCACCAGGCAUUCACACCAAGAAACAAUGGUCACUCUAUCCUCAUAGAAGUUAACGAUGAUGAAAACCUUAUAAAUACCGAAUAGUCUACUCUUUACUUAUCUCACUCCGCCGUGAUAGAUCCAAAGCCCUUAAUUUCUCAAUUCCUUCUGGGUUUUGGGUCUAUAGUUGCUUCUUUUUCCUACAAUUUCCCUUUUUGGGAAAAUCAAGGUAUGUUUUUUGUUUGAAUUUCCUUUUUUUCUGGAACAAGUUGGUGUUUUUGUUUAGUGUGUGUUUGCGAUUUUAGGAUUUUGCUGAAGAUUAAUAAAUGUUGGGUUUGUUUUUGUGGAUUUGGCGUAGGUGGGCGAGUGGUGAGUGGUGACUGUUUUGAGUGGAGGUUAUGGCCUGGAAUCGAGGAGAGCAAAGCUCAUCUGGGAUCAAGUUUGACAAGGGGAGUGGAUCUGCUACGUUUUGGGGUUUGAAUUGAGAAAAAGGAGCUUGAUGAAGUUGACUUUAAAUCCGUUCGAUAUGGACAGUAGUAACCAAAAGAUGGGGUUUUCAGCCAUGACAAGUUUGUUAAACGAUUUUGGAUUUAUGGUAGAUGAGAAUUAAUGAGGUUGAGAAACUUGAUUCGCAAGAUGGGAAUUCAUCAGGGUGCGGGUUUCCAAUUGAUUGGUGGAAAUUGUGAGCCGCUGGGGAUGAAUUUCAGAGAGGGGUUGAACGGUGGUCAUGGUCUGAUGGAUGGUGAAUGAUCAUUGUGGUGUGGACGGAGGUAAUCCAUCGCAGGCGUUGUUAGUUGUUGUCCCUUGGUUAUUUGCCCAUUGUGGGGGGGGGACCUAUUUGUAGUUGAAAGAUUAUGCAAGCCUUUAUGCGAUGUUAUUGUAGGAGAUCCACUUUUAUGGAAAAAAAUUAACAUAGUUCAUCCAUUUUGUACUAACAUCACAAAUGAUAUCCUUAUAAAGUUGAAGAAUAGAGCUCAAGCCCAUCUUUAUUCUCUCAGUCUAUUUCACUAAUCAAAGCUCACUGAUGUUGGUUUGAAGCUCAAAGUCAGUUGUUUCUCUUGUGUUACUUGCUUAGUUAUUAGGAAAUGUAUUACCUUAACAAUUAUAAGUAGUAAGAAAUCUAUUAAGCACACAGUUAAUUUAGAAACCCUAACUUAUAAACCACUUUUUCAUAAUAAACCAAUAUGCAAUUUGAAUUUCCAUGUUUAUAUCUCUUCCGCCCACCUCAGUACUUGUUUGGUUAUUCCAGGGCCUUGCCAACAUUUGACAGACAAGAGAAAUGUCCUCUAAUUAAUGCAACACUUGAAGAAAAUAAUGCUUAUAUAUAUGGUAAUAACUAGUCUAUCCAUAACUUGUGUUGGAGUCUUCCGCUGUUCACAGACGAGAAAGACAAGUGAGGGAGAAAGGGACAGUCUCCAUGGCUUCACCAAGUAAGCAUUGCAAACCCCAAAUGAUAAUUCUUUAAAAGUAUUUGUUGUAUGUGUGAUUUCAUUUUGUUAUUUGUUUUAUUUAGUAUUGGAAUGAAACAUACCAGAGAGGAUUUAGUAUUCCUAUGGUCUACCCCAUCUAUUUAGUUGUUUAUUUUACAUUAUUUCGUUAUUGUUAACUUUCCCAUAUGUGUAUCCCUUUUUCAAACUAUAUGGUGUGCUUUAAUUUAUGCAGAGUUUGUUGCAAGAUUUUAGUGGGCAUCGAUGUUGUUGUUGUUAUGGUCUACCCUUACUAUUUGGGAUUGAUGUGUAUAUAGUAGGAGUAGAACUUUUCCAAGAGUUCACAUGAUUAUUUAAAACAUUGUUUUUCCAGCUUAUAUUUUGUAUAUCUACAACCCCUCUCUUUCGCACUUGCACAUCAUGGAAUAAUUUCAUUAAUGUUUGGACUAAGGUUGCGGCCAUGACCCUCUAAACGCGAUAUGGAUAGAAAUCAGCCCAAAAGUUUGAGAGAUUUUUGUGGAAUUGAAUGAACCAACCUGCCUUUUGUAGGCUAGCUCUUUUUGUGUAUUAUAGUUAAAUGAACUUGUCUCCAAAAUUUCUCCAUUAUCACAUAACUGAUUUAUCAAAAAAAUUCUUUCACUUUCAUCUUCCAUCUCGGCUAUGUUUGAUUCAAUGUUUCCUUCUUUUUUUAAGUUGGAUUGAUGUCCAUGAGCUAAAGAUCUUUCAUAAACUACCUCUUUAUCUCCACAAAGUAGUGGUAAGAUUUGCACUAUGUACAUUCUUCGUACUCUACUAAGUGCGAUUUCACUAGGUAUAUUGUUGUUGAUGAUGAUAAUAAUAUUUUUCACUAGGGAAUAUAUGGAAAAGCUCCUUCUAUUGUUGAUAGUUUUAGAUGAAUAAAUAUUAAGGUGGAAAGCUCCCAUCUUAAAAAUUGAAUUACCAUUUUGCCUAUCUACGAAAUUAAGAAUAUAAUUAAAUAAUAAUAUUUUAAUUAUCUAAAGAUUGAAUUAUAUAAAAUUAUAAAUGCAUCUUUUUCAUAUUAAAAAAUAAAAUUGAACUAGAUUUAGAAUGAAUUGUAAUACAAAAAUAGAAAGGAGAAACGCUUUCUCUCCUAAGGAAGUUCUCAAACAAACUAAAAAUUCAAAGUUCCUCUUUAUCCUAUCAAGAUGGUGAUUUUCUAAUCGAACAAGAAUGAACUGUAGUCGGUUCUAAAAGAAGUAACUAUAAAAACAAACAACUUAACACAAAGAUAAAUUGGUUGAAAAAUACAUAAUGAGUAUCAAUUAGUAAGAUUACAUAAAUCAAUAUGUUCAUAUGUGAUUUUACCAUUUCCUGUAUUGCUACCAUAGAUCUUUUCUUUUAUGAACUUCAUCGAAAUGAUAAGUAUUAGUACAACAUGAGUAAAUAUUUUGCCACACACUCACAUGCAAUUAAAUUAGUAUAAAGCACCGUUAUGUUUCUCUUAACUAAGUUGGAUUCAUAUAUGAUAUAACUUACUUAAGAGAAAAAUAAUGUAUAAUUACACUAAUUUAAUUGCAUGUCAAGUGUGUGCAAAAUAAUUCUUUAUGAUGUAUCACUACGCUAUCAUUUUGAUCAAGCUCAUGAAAAAACAUGUUAUAUGCUAACAAUACAACAACGAAAUAGUAAAAAAUCAUACAUGAAUAUGUUAAAAUAUAUAGUAUUAUUAUUUGAUGUAAUAAUUUGAUAUUCAUUAUUUAUUCGCCAACAAAUUUAUAUUUGCGUUAAGUCAAUUUUUUUGUUACUUCUUUAGACCCGACUAUGAUUCAUUCUUGUUCAAUCAUAAAAUCACUGUCUUGCUAAUAGGAAGAUCUUAUGGGAAAAUCUUAGGAACAUUAAAACAUCUUAUAAAGGUAUGUGGCUCAUCAGAGGUGAUUGUAAUGAGCUAACUUUUUUUUUUAAUAAAAAGAAAAGGAUCUCAAUGAGAAAAGUACAAUCAAGGGGGGUUAGGCUUCCUUACUAAUCUUAAUGAGGUAAAGGACUUCUACUAAUUAACAUGCAUGAACAAAUUACGAGCUAGAGAAAACUAGAUAUUGCAUUAUCAUCAUAGAGUUCAUAAUAAUUUUAUGAUGAUACUACAAAAGAGAAUGCUUAAGUAAUUCAAAAAUACAAAAUCUAAGAAUAAAGUUGAGUUAUCACAGAAAUUCUGGAAAGAAAAAACGUUGGUAACCCUUUCUGAGUAAUUACAAAAAAUUGUAUUCUAUUGGCUUAUUUGAGAUAUUGUCACAACCCAAACCGAUUGCGACUGGCACCCACACUUACCCUCCUAUGUGAGCGAACCAACCAAUCUAACCUUAACAUUUCAAUAUAAUAUCAACAGAAAGUAAUGCGGAAGACUUAAACUCAUUAAAUAAAGACCAAUUCAUUAACUUCUAAAAUUCAACAUCUAUUAUUCCCCAAAAUCUGGAAGUAAACAUCACAAGAACAUCUACGAUUAAAUGACUAAACUAAGAGUAUUCUAAAAGCUAAAAAUACAUAAGAAGCUAGUCCAUGCCGGAAGUUCAAGGCAUCAAGACUUGAAGAAGAAGAUCCAGUCCAAGCUAGAAGCAUUAGCUCACCCUGAAUUUCCGAUGUAGUAAGACUGGCUUGAAUUACUAUUGAGUUGAAGAUGAUGGCACGUUUGCUGCACUCCACAAAUAAACAAGAAGAAAACAUAAAAGUAGGGGUCAGUACAAAACAUGGGUACUGAGUAGAUAUCAUCGGCCAACUCAAAAUAGAAAUCAAUAUAUACCAAGUAAUAUCAUAAAAUCAACUAUGAUACUGAACAUGUAGCAACAACAAAUACUAUAUCAUUAACAAUUACCGUCAAGUUCACACAUGAAGACUCAAGCCUCAAUACCAUACUCAUUUGGGAAUCAUGUUCAUUAGAUUGAGUAUAUUAACAUCUUUCAAGAUUCAUUAUCUUUAUUUCUCUUGUGUCGGUACGUGACACUCUGCUCCCUCAAUAUUCAUUAAUCCUCUUGUGUCGGUACGUGACAUUCCGAUCUCCUAAAUCUACGUGUCGGUUCGUGACACCCGAUCCACUAAUACUACGUGUCGGUUCGUGACACCCGAUCCCCUAAUACUACGUGUCGGUUCGUGACACCCGAUCCCCUAAUACUACGUGUCGGUUCGUGACACCCGAUCCCCUAAUUCUACGUGUCGGUUCGUGAUACCCGAUCCCCUAAUUCUACGUGUCGGUUCGUGACACCCGAUCCCCUAAUACUACGUGUCAGUUCGUGACACCCGAUCCCCUAAUCUCCUUCCAUCAAUUCAUCAAGCCUUCUUUCUUACCAAGGCAUCAUCAAUCCCAUUAUUUUAGUUCAUCACGCCUUCUUUUAUACCAAGGCCUCAUUAUUAACAAAGAGAUUAGGAUUUUGCAAGAUUUGGGAUUCAAUAACUUCAUCAUGCUUAUAUAAUCACAAUUAUAUAAUUACAUUCAUGCAAGCAUACAAUUAAGCACAUAGCAGGGUUUACAAUAUUAUUAAUACAUAUCAUUCUCUAUUAAGAGUUUACUACGAAUAUUGUAAGAGAAACCAUAACCUACCUCCACCGAAGACUAGUGAUCAAGCAAGCAAAUUCCCAAAGCUUUGUGUUUUCCUCUUCGUUUCUCCUCUCUCGAUCAAUCCUCUCUCUCUCUCUUUGUUCUUUCUAUUUUUCUUUAUUCAAACCCUCUUUCUUUUACCCUAAUUAGUAUAUAAUUAAGAAUAAAAGAUAGCAAUAAUGACCCACUAAUUAACUUAAGGUUACCUCUUUUAACCCCCAAGUAAUUAGACUUAUUAACAUUAACCCACUAACUUUAUAAUUAAAGCAGGAAUAGUCAAAAACGUCCCUUAAAACGUAUCAAGAAAUCCGACACAGACUGGGAUUACGCAGUCUAUGACGGCCCGUCGCGCCUGCGACGGUCCGUCCUGCUGCCCCGUCACAGAGUUCAGAGACUCAAUUUCUCUGAAGAGUCUGUGACGGUCCGUCACACCUGUGACGGUCCGUCACACCUGUGACGGUCCGUCCUGCCAUUCCGUUACGAAGUUCAGAGAGUCAAUUUUCAGUACCUAAUUUCUGAUUUUCUAAGUGUUUUGAAACGAGACCCUACGAUGGUCCGUCGUGCCCAUGACGGUCCGUCGUGCCCAUGACGGUCCGUCGUGGGGUCCGUCGUUUCUGCCAGUUUUUCCAGAAUUGAAGUGUGCUGCUCAAAAUGACUAAACAGGUUGUUACAAUAGAUACCAAUUUACCCAUCGUUCAUCCCCGAACGAUCACAAGAAGGAAAACAAGGACGAAAAGGAGUACCUGAAUCUGUAAACAGGUGUGGGUAUCUUUCUCGCAUAUCAGCCUCUUUCUCCCAAUACCUUAUCUUGGAUUCUUCUUAGUUUCUCAUCAUCAAACUGUUUUCCCUUAAUCUUGUCAAGAAAGGAAGAUCUUGCCUCCACACAAGCGAACAAUCCUCCCUUCUCAUUUACUUCUAAUCUCAUCAAGUCGUUAGCUAGAGUCUGAACCUCUCUAGCUAAUGGGCGUCUAGAGGCUUGCAAGUGAGCUAGACUUCCCAUGCUUCCCGCCUUUCUACUUAAAGCAUCCGCUACAACAUUCGUCUUCCCCGGAUGAUACAAAAUGGUGAUGUCGUAGUCUUUCAGUAGUUCCAUCCAUCUUCUUUGUCUCAAGUUCAAAUCUUUCUGAGUAAAGACAUACUGUAGGCUACGAUGAUCCGUAUAGACCUCACACUUAACCCCAUAUAAAUAGUGUCUCCAUUGCUUUAAUGCAAACACUACCGCAGCCAAUUCCAAAUCAUGAGUUGGAUAGUUACGUUCAUGCACUUUUAAUUGCCUUGAAGCAUAAGCAAUCACAUUCUUCUCUUGCAUUAGCACUGCACCCAAACCAGAAUAGGAUGCAUCACAAUAAAUAAUGAAAUUCUUACCCUCCACUGGCAAGGUGAUAAUUGGUGCGGUAGUCAACAAAGUCUUGAGCUUCAGAAAGCUUUCCUCACACUCAUCCGACCAUACAAAUGGAACAUUUUGCUUAGUCAAGUUCGUCAGUUGGGAAGCAAUAGAAGAGAAUCCCUUGAUAAAUCGGCGGUAGUAGCUAGCUAACCCAUAAAAGCUCCUUAUUUCUGACACAUUAGUAGGUCUUACCCAAUUCUUCACUGUCUCAAUCUUAGAAGGAUCCACCAUCACUCCAUCCUUGGAAACCACGUGCCCCAAGAAGGACACUGCAUCUAGCCAGAACUCACACUUAGACAACUUGGCAUAAAGAUUUUUCUCCCUCAACAUUUCCAAUACCAUUCUCAAAUGCUCCUCAUGUUCUUUCUUGCUCUUUGAGUAUAUCAGUAUAUCAUCAAUAAAUACGAUAACGAAGAGGUCCAAAUAUGGCUUAAAAAUCCCGUUCAUCAAGCUCAUAAACGCAGCAGGGGCAUUCGUAAGACCAAAAGACAUCACUACAAAUUCGUAAUGCCCAUACCUCAUUCGAAAAGCAGUCUUUGGCACAUCCGUUGCCCGCAUUUUCAAUUGAUGAUAACCAGAUCUCAAGUCAAUCUUAGAGAAGACACAAGCACCUUGUAACUGAUCGAACAAGUCAUCAAUGCGAGGAAGAGGAUACUUGUUCUUUAUGCUUACCUUGUUUAGUUGUCUGUAGUCUAUACACAUUCGAAAACUCCCAUCCUUCUUCUUCACAAACAAAACCGGAGCACCCCAAGGAGAUGCACUUGGUCUAAUAAAGCCUUUGUUUAACAACUCUUGAAGUUGGGCUUUUAACUCUCUUAACUCCGCGGGAGCCAUUCUAUAAGGGGGUAUAGAAAUGGGGCGAGUACCCGGUUCAAGGUCAAUACAGAAAUCAAUAUCCCUAUCUGGUGGCAUACCAGGAAGAUCUGCAGGGAACACAUCCAGAAACUCACGGACCACCGAAACUGACUCAAUCGAAGGUACUUGGGUAGUGUCAUCCUUGAUAUGUGCCAAGAAAGCUAAACACCCUUUACUAACCAUUUUCUUAGCACGAAGAAAGGAGAUGAUACGCACCGGAUUGGAAGUGUAGUCACCCUACCAAACUAACGGAUCUGUCCCAGGCUUGGCUUACAGUCACCGUUUUAGCAUUACAAUCCAAGAUCGCAAAUUGCGAAGAAAGCCAAGUCAUACCCAGAAUUACAUCAAAAUCAUCCAUUUCUAAGAUAACCAAAUCUACAUAAGUGUUGCUCCCCACAAAGUUCACCAAACAAGACCUAUAUACCUUUUCAACUACCACAGACUCACCCACCGGAGUAGAAACACGAAUAGGCAUAUCAAGUAAUUCACAAUGUAAAUUUAGACCAUUAGCAAAUGAGGAAGAUGCAUAAGAAAAUGUGGAUCCAGGAUCAAACAAUACAGAAGCCAUGCAAUCACAAACCAGAAGAUUACCUGUGAUGACAGCAUCAGUUUGAUAUGUCUGAUCUUGGCUUGAUGCAUUACCUUUUGUAGUUGAAAGAAUAUGCAGCCUUUAUGGGAUGUUGUUGUUGGAGAUCCACUUUUAUGGAGAAAAAUUAUCAUAGUUCAUCCAUUUUGUACUAACAUCACAAAUGAUAUCCUUAUAAACUUGACGAAUACAGCUCAAGUCCAUCUUUAUUCUUUCAAUCUAUUUCACUGCUCAAAGCUCACUGAUGUUGGUUUGAAGCUCAAAGGUCAGUUGUUUCUCUUGUGUUUUUUGCUUAGUUAUUAGGAACUGUAUUACCUCAACAAUUAUAAAUAGUAAGAAAUCUAUUAAGCACACAGUUAAUUUAGAAACCCUAACUUGUAAACCACACUUUUUCAUACUAAACCUAUAUGCAAUUUGAACUUCCAUGUUGAGGUCUCUUCAGCCCACCUCAGUACUUGUUAGGUUAUUCCAGGGCCUUGUCAAAAUUUGACAGACAAGAGAAAUGUCCUCUAAUUAAUGCAACACUUGAAGAAAAUAAUGCUUAUAUAUAGUAAUAACUAAGCUCUCUAUAACUUGUGUAGGAGUCUUUCAUUGUUCACAGACGAGAAAGACAAGUGAGGGAGAAAUGGACAGUCUCCAUGGCUUCACCAAGUAAGCAUCGCAAACCCCAAAUGAUAAUUCUUGAAAAAUAUCUAUUGUGUGUGUGAUUUCAUUUUGUUAUUUGUUGUAUUUAGUAUUGGAAUGAAACAUAUCAGAGAGGAUUUAGUAUUCCUAUGGUCUACCCCAUCUAUUUAGUUGUUUAUUUCACAUUAUUUCGUUGUUGUUUAUUUUCCCAUAUGUGUAUCCCUUUUUCAAACUAUUUGGCGUGCUUUAAUUUAUGCGGAGUUUUUUAUCCACAAGUUAAGGGUAAGAUAUGUUUAUACUCUAUCCUCUAUAAAUCCAACUUGGCGAGAAUUUACUGGGUAUCAUUGUUGUUGUUGUUGUUAUGGUCUACCCAAACUAUUUGGGAUUAAUGUGUAUAUAGUACGAGUAGAACUUUUCCAAGAGUUCCACUUGAUUAUUAAAAACUUUGUUUUUUCCAGCUUAUAUUUUGUAUAUCUACAACCCCUCUCUUUCGCACUUCCACAUCAUGGAACAAUUUCAUGAAUGUUUGGACUAAGGUUGCAGCCAUGGCCCUCUAAACGCAAAAUGGAUAGAAAUCAACCCAAAAGUUGAAGAGAUUUUUGUGGGAUUGAAUUAACCAACCUGCCUUUUGUAGGCUAGCUCUUUUUGUGUCUCCAAAAUUUCUCCGUUAUGACAUAACUGAUUUAUCUAAAUUUUUCUUUCACUUUCAUCUUCCAUAUCUUCCAUCUCGGCUAUGUUUGAUUUUGUGUUUCCUUAUUUUUGUAAGUUGGAUUUCACUAGACAUAUUGUUAUUGAUGAUGAUAAUAUUUUUCACUAAGGAAAAUAUGGAAGAGCUCCUUCUAGUGUUGAUAGUUUUAGAUGAAUAAAUAUCAAGGUGGAAAGCUCCCAUCUUAAAAAUUGAAUUACGAUUUUGCCUCUCUACUAAAUUAAGAAUUUAAUUAAAUAAUAAUAUUUUUUAAUUAUCUAAGAUUGAAUUAUAUUAUAAAAUUAUAAAUGCCUCUUUCUCAUAUUAAAAAAUGAAAAUUGACCUAGAUUUAGAUUGAAUUGUAAUCCAAAAAUAAUAGCAGAAAUACCUACUAGAUUAGGAACGCUUUCUCUCCUAAGGAAGUUUUCAAACAAACUAAAAAUUCAAAGUUUCUCUUUCUCAUAUCAAGAUGGUGAUUUUCUAAUCGAACAAAAAUAAACCGUAGUCGGUUCUAAAAGAAGUAACUAUAUAACAAACCAACUUAACACAAAUAUAAAUUGGUUGAAAAUAAAUAUAUGAUUAUCAAAUAGUAGGAAGAUAUAAACAAUAUGUUCAUAUGUGAUUUACCAUUUCCUUGUAUUGCUAGCAUAGACCUUUCUUUUAUGAACUUCAUCGAAGUGAUAGAGUAUUGACACAACAUGAGGAAAUUUUUUCCAUACACUCGACAUGCAAUUAAAUUAGUACAAAUCACCGUUAUGUUUCUCUUAAAUAAGUUGAAUUAAUAUAUGAUUUUAACUUAUUUAAGUUAAAAAUAUAUAUACUUAUACUAAUUUAGUUGCAUGUCAAGUGAGUGAUAAAAAUAUUUCUUUAUGAUUUACCCUAGUCCACUACUCUAUCAUUUUGAUCAAGUUCAUGGAAGAAAAUGUUAUAUGAUAACAAUACUACGAAAUGCUAAAAAAUAAUGCAUGAAUAUGUUAGCUUAUAUAGUAUUAUUAUUUGAUAUUCGUUAUUUAUUCGUCGAUAAAUUUAUAUUCGCGUUAAGUCAAGUUUUUUUUGUUAACUCUUUAUGAUCGACUAUGUUCGAUCAGAAAAUCACAAUCUUAAUAAGAAUUUGUAAUUUUUAGUUUGUUCAAAAUUACGAUGGGAAAACAUUUCAAUCUAGGGUGUUUCUCCCUUCUAUUUUUUUAGAUGGUGACUCAUUCUAGAUCCACAAAUCAACAUUUUUAAUAUGUGGAAGAUGGACGUUGAAUUAUAUUUUAAGUAAACUAAUCCUUACAGAGCAGCGAUCUAUUUAGACUGAAGUCAAAUUAUAUGUAGGAGUUGUUCACCGUAUUAUAGUUAUGACACCAAUAUACUACCAAAUUUAGCAACUAGAUAGGAGCAAUGAACUCUCUUUGCUUAUAAUACAUGCCAAUAACCAUCAAAAAAAAAGAGAGAGAACAACCUAGAUAGGAGCAAUGAACUCUUUGCUUAUAAGACUUGCCAAUCACCAUCCAAAAAUAUAAGAGAGAAACAACCUAGAUAGGAGCGUUAUUCCUUGUAAGAAUGUUUUUAAACAAAUUAAAAUUUCAAAGUUCUUCUUAUCAGUUGGUGAUUUAUGAUCUAACAAGAAUGAAUCAUAGUCUGUCCUAAAAGAUUUAACAAAAAAAAACCCGACUUAACACAUAUAAAGUGAUUGGAAAAUAAAUAUAAUAAUGAAUAUCAAACUAUUAUAUAAAAUAGUAAUAAAUAUAAAUAUUAAUAUGUUCAUGUGUGAUUUUACCAUUUUCUUGUAUUGCUAGCAUAUAAGCUUUUCUUUUAUGAACUUGAUUCAAAAUGAUAGUAGUAGUUACACACAUGAAGAAAUAUUUCGCAACACACAUGCAAUUAAAUUAGUAUAAAUUAUCAUUAUGUUUCUCUUAACUAAGGUGAAUUAAUGUAUGAUUCAGCUUGAUUAAGAAAAAUAUAAUGGUAGUGUAUACUAAUUUAAUUGUAUUUAGUGCGUGAUUAACAUUCAUUUUAUUAAGUCCAUUUGUUUCUUUUUUUUUAAAAAAAAAAACUCUUACUGAUCUUAAUGAGUCUGAAUGAUCGACUCUAUUCAAAUAUUAAGUGUUUCUUUUCUUAAACAAAUUCUCUUCUUCGUUGCUUCUCUUCUGGACAAGUUUCAAGUUUCUUCCUCUUCUUUUAAAACCAAGUAUCAUUUUUUUUCUUUGAAUAAGUUUUCAUAAUCUUUUACAAGUAUUUAUUUAAUAUUUCUAAUAUAUAAAUAUCCUUGGGUGAAUUGAUAUUUAUGAAGAAACUGUUCUUGUCACAAUUUGUUUGUUGUCAAAACUUCUUCAGAAGAAGUUAUCAUUGUUUCUUGAGAAAACAUUAUUUGAAAAAACAAAUAACUCAUCUUUUUUCUGGGUUGAGUGAUAAUCUUAUUCUUGAAACAAUUGUUUGGAAAAAGUAUUUUUUGUUUGGAUCAUAACUAUUAUUGACAUAGUGUUUAAUUUCAAAUUAAAAAUUAAAAACAAACACAUCUUAAUGAUUUAGUGUUCAGACCUAAAAACUACAUUUCAAUAUCCAGACAAAUAUUCGACAUUUUAAUCUUAAUACUAAUCUUAAUAUUCAGAUGCCGCAUUUAGAUUCAGGCCUCUUAAUUUUAACGAAAACAAAUAAGGCCUAAAUCUGCUUAAGAACCGGACCAUAUUAGGUGUAUAGUACGCAAUCUUACCUAAUAUUUCUGUCAUCCAAAAAUAUUCAUUUGUUCAGGUAAUACUCCGCAGCAUUAGGAAUUAUGUUAUGCUAAUAAUAUUGAAGCAGGACAACAUUUUCUGUCACUAAACAGUAAAAUCCAUUCUUAUAUAUACAAAUUGUGAGGAUUGGAAGCAAACAUUAGGUUGAAAGUGAAAAAUAAAUUGUUAAUACACAAGUUGUACUACUUAUAUACAUUUUUUAAUUAAUAAAGAAAAAAAAAGCAAGCCAAUACCCCUCAUUUUUUUGUGAAAUUAUACUAGCUAUUAGAAUAACGACAAACUAUCAUGAGUCUGAAUAGAACAGAACGGAUACAUAAUAUUCGAGUAACAAUAUCUAAUUAGCUUAAAAGUUGAAGCAUAUAUAUAAUCGAGUUGAUUUAACCCGUUAAGAAUGCACAAAAUCUCUUUCAUUCCACAGCAACAUCAGCUAUAUGAAACCAAUUUCUUUGGAGGAGCUCUACAAUCUCUUCAUCUCUGGAUAUUGUAACAUGUUAUAGUAAGUAUCAUAAAUAAAUUAAUAUUAUAUAAUUGUAUUAAUUAAUAAUGUAUAUAUGUUCUAAGUAUUACAAUAAUAAUGUUACAUAUAUAUACCUUGAUUUAGAAGGAGACUUUGGGGUUGUGGUGACAAAAACGAGGGCUUCAUCAUAUCCUUCACAUGUGAUUUCUCCAUAUUCAUCUCUAUAACAAACUACACCCGUUGACUUAUCUUCAAAUACCUAUAUAUAUUCAUAUAAAUAAUAAAUAUAUUACGAAAAAUCAGUAAAGUUUGUACAUGAAUUGAUUGAUAUUUUUUAAAAAAAAAUAGUAGUACGAAUAAGAAGUGAAAUUGAUUACAUAUAUAUUAAUGUAAAAAAAUAGAUGUUGACGUCUAACUGAAUUCAAAUUUAGCUCAUGAACGAAGGAUAUUGCUUAAAUCCUUAUAAAAAAACCUUUCAUUUCUUUUUCACGUUCAAAAUUGGACAUCUGAUGUAUGAAUAAUUUAAUAUGAAGGUCCAACAUAAAUUUCAAAUUAUUGGAAUGACUCCUACUCUAAUACAUGUCUAGAUAGACUCUAGGCCUUAUAUAAUUUUAUAUAAUAUUAAAGCAGACAAAGGUCUUGGAGAUCGAAUCCACCAUCACCUUUAGUAUAAAGAAUGAAAUACCUUAAACCCAUUUUUCGAAGUUAAUUUGAUCUGACCGGAGUUGUUGACGAUAACGAUGAUGAUGAUGAUGAUGCAAACACUACUCGUCUAUGGACAGGCAAUCUUACUGUCCUUGUGAGUGAAAGAUGAUUUGGUAACUAGAAAAGAUGUUGAAAGAGAGUUUACCACAGCCAUUGAAGUUAAUGGAGAGAAGAAAAAUAAGAAGAAAAGAGUGGAGAAUGCUAAGGAAUGUUAGUUUAUGGUAUGAAGUAUAGUUGUUGAGGGACUUUAUAUUAUAUAGUUUUUUCUGUAACUUAAUCUUGCUAGUACUGUUUGGGGAAGACUUAGUACACAUUACUACUUUUAAUUUGUAGUACCAAACAAAAAGAGUUUGGAUUUUAUUUGCUUAUAUAUAUAUUAUAGUAUAUCUAACUGCUUGGUGCUAGAGUUUUUUUAAUUUGUUUUGGUAAGUUAAAAUAGAUGAUGAAUAAUAGUUUCUUUGUUAUAAUUUAUUUGUUUUGUGUUGAUUUGAACUAAAUCGUUUAAAAAAAUAAAAAGAAAUUUUGAAUCUUGUGAUCUUAAAUCAAAGAUAUGUUGUUAUAUGUACCAAAAUGUGCUUUAAUCGAAUGGUUUUUAACAUCUCAAGUGGAAAAAAUUAUAGAUAAAAGAGUUAUCACAAAAAAAACUUUUUUUUUAAUUGAAAUGGACUAAGAAGAAAAGUAGGACAAAUAAAUUGAAAUGAAGAGAGCAAUACUUGUUUCGAUGGUUGUUAUCUAUUGUAUUACAUUGCUUUUAGAUACUAUAUUUGUUUUUAUUAUUACAUUUUGAAUUUGUUUAUAUCAUAUUGUUAAAUUCAUUAGGUUAUAAGACGAUUAAAAUUCUCAUUUUAUGUAAUGACUGAAUUUGAUAUGAUUGUGUUGUUAUAUUUUCUUCUUUUUUUGAUAAUAUUAUAAUUUAUUUUUAAAUUAUUAUAUGUAUUAUAAUAUAUAUAGCAACAAAAAAUAAUAUAGUCUAUCCAAAUAUAUUUAAAAACAAUACAACAUAAUACGGUAUAAAAUAAGUUUCAACCAUCCAUAGUGAAACCAACAAGUUAAUAAAUUAUAUAUUCCUCAAGAAACAUAGUGAGUUUCAAGUCGAAAUUGAGGUUAUAUAGUGCUUUGACUAUCAACAUAAAAUAGAUCAAUUAUAUUUUAGUAAUAAUAAUUAUCAAAAGGAAUAUACAUAUAAAAAUUAUAAUUAUUAUUGGAAAUAAUUAUUGGAUCAAGUCCAUGGUCUAAUUUUAUUCCAUUAGUUAUUUAGUUUGUCCUCUUUUUUAAUGAUAAUCACAUUUUUUAAUAAAGAUUCCACUGAUGAGCAUAGUAAAAUAUAGUUUCUUUCAUAUUAGAUGAUGAUUACGAUUAAUAAAACGUUAUAUAUCUCUAAAGGAUAUCUAAAUUGUGGACAAUGAUGUUCAUCCACAUUGUGAGAAUAUUUGACAAUUAAUAACAAGCAAGUCAUGAUUACUGCAGAGUCACUUCUGCUUUAAGAAAUUCAUAAAUCUUUUGAACUAAUAUUUACGAUUCAUGUACUACAACUAUUAUAUAUAUAAUGGUCAUCUUUGUUGUUGUUGUUGUUAUGGUCUAGCCUUACUAUUGGGAUUAAUGUGUAUAUAGUAGGAUAUAACUUUUCCAAGAGUUCCACUUGAUUAUUAAAACUUUGCUUUUCCAGCUAUAUAUUGUGUAUCUACAACCCCUCUCUUUAGCACUUCCACAUCAUGAAAUAAUUUCAUUUAAUGUUUGGACUAAGGUUGAGGCCAUGAUCCUCUAAACGCGAUAUGGAUAGAAAUCAUCCCAAAAGUUUGAGAGAUUUUUGUGGGAUUGAAUGAACCAACCUGCCUUUUGUAGGCUAGCUCUUUUUGUGUGUUAAUAGUUAAAUGAACUUGUCUCCAAGUUUCUCUGUUUUACACAUAACUGAUUUAUCUAAAUUUUUCUCACUUUCAUCUUCCAUCUCGGCUAUGUUUGAUUCACUGUUUCCUUCUCUUUUUAAGUUGGAUUGAUGUCAUUGAGUUGAAGAUCUUUCAUAACAGCCUCUUUAUCUCCACAAAGUAGUGGUAAGAUUUGCACUCUGUACAUUCUACAUACUCUACUAAGUGAGAUUUUCACUAGGUAAUAUUGUUGUUGAUGAUGAUAAUAUUUUUCACUAGGGAAAAUAUUGAAAAGCUCCUUCUUCUGUUGAUAGUUUUAGAUGAAUAAAUAUUAAGGUGGAAAGCUUCCAUCUAAAAACUGAAUUACCAUUUUACCGCUCUACUAAUUAAGAAUUUAAUUAAUAAUAAUAUUUUAAUUAUCUAACGAUUGAAUUAUAAAAGAUUAAUAAUCUCUUUUAUAUUAAAAAAUAAAAUUGACCUAGAUUUAAAUGAAUUGUAAUCCAAAAAUAGAAAGUAGGAACGCUUUCUCUCCUAAGGAAGUUCUCAAACAAACUACAAAAUUCAAAGUUCCUUUUCUCCUAUCAAGAUGGUGAUCUAAUCGAACAAGAAUCGAACUGUAGUUGGUUCUAAAAGAAGUACUAUAAAAAAAAUUAUACACAGAUAAAUUGGUUUAAAAUACAUAAUGAAUAUCAANNNNNNNNNNNNNNNNNNNNNNNNNNNNNNNNNNNNNNNNNNNNNNNNNNNNNNNNNNNNNNNNNNNNNNNNNNNNNNNNNNNNNNNNNNNNNNNNNNNNAAGUUAUUGUUUCUUAUAAACAAAAAUUUAUUGUGUUAUUUUGACAUGCAUCUCAUAGUCAAUUGUAUCUAUGCAUAUACACAGAGUUUCCAAUAUAUUUUUAAACAUCUUUUCUUUGUAUUGCACUUGUGUUUAAAUUUUUUUAUAUUAAAAUUAGUAGUUAUCUUGAGGUUGAGCCAGGUAAGUUCUUCAGUUUUUUUAGACUCUUUCUAGACUAUGUUGUUUAGCAUUCCAACUCGCAUACUCGUACAUGCAAUGUACUGAUACCAGAUGACAUGCAUCGUGUUAUAAUGCAUACAAAGGUAAUGAGGAUCGGCAUCCAGCGCACCAUUUAUCCAGUAUAGCACUCCAGAGUCAGUUGGUGAGCCUCCUUGCAUUUAAAGGACUCCUUUUUUUAUAUAUAUAUUAGUUGUUAGGAUGUUGUGGGUUCUGACCAAACAUCCAUCUCAGAUGUUUAGAAACAUCAUAGAUAGUCAAAUGUUAGUCCUUUGAGUCGUUACAUUUUCAUCUAUUAUGUUAUAGACUUGGGUGGGCAGCUUGCCAAGUUGAAUGUUUAAUUUUUAGACAUUCUCAGAUUACGUUAUUAUUCAGUUCAGUUAGAUGCUAUUAAUCCUUAUAAAUGUGCAUAUAAUCUUCCACUGAGUUAAGUAAGUCAUGUCAAGGGUCCGCUCAAGGCAACCAAUGGUUCGAGUGCUGGCCACACCCAGGGUAUAGGUUUGGGCGUGACAAUUUGUGAUGUUAUUCUGUAUUUUAUAAUCACUAUAUAAUAUUUUUAUGAACUUGAUCAAAAUGAUUAAAUAGUAGCACAACAUGAGGAAAUAUUUUAAUACAUACUCGACAUACAAUUAAAUUAGUACAAGUCGAUCACCAUUACAUUUAUUUAAUUAAGCUGAAUCAAAUAUUAUUUAAACUAGAAAGCUCCUAUCUAAAAUAUUGAAUUACUAUUUUGCCUCUCUAAUAAAUUAAAAUUUUAGUAAUAUCUGAUUAAAUAAUAAUAUUUUAAUUAUAUAAAGAUUGAAUUAUAUAAAUACAUCUUCCUCAUAUAAAUAAUGUAAUUUCCCUACAACAAAAUUGUUGAAGAAAGCUUUAAGACUGAUGAAACAUGUCGAAGGAACAAUAGACUAAUGGAACAUGUCGAACAAUAGACUCAUAAAGGCAAAAUAUUUCUGUUGUUAUAUGUGGAUGAUAAUAUUGUCACAUAAUGUAAUCCGUCUCAUGUCCCACAGUUGGUGCUAUAACUUGGGAAGGAGUUCACUUGAAAGAUCUUGACUCUUUACACGUCUUUCUAAGGUGAAGUAUUUCGAAGGAGGAGUAUUCACUUAAAUCAAAGAAAGUAUGCUGGUGAAUUGUUCGCGAAGAAAGAGAUGAUUUUGGCAAAGGUUGUAUUCACUCCUUUGGCUCAAAACCAUGGUCUGCAUGAAGCUGUAGAAAGUCUUUUAGAUGCCUCUUCAGAAUGAUAGUAGGGAGCCUUCAAUAUUUGACCCCACUUAUGCUGUAAAUUUAGCAACCCAAUUUCGCGAAGCCCAAACAUUAAAUAUAUUCGUGGGGUAAAAAGGAUUCUCAAGUACAUCAAAGAUACUAUACACUUUGGUCUUAGAAUUAUUUCACAAUCACCAUAUAGGUUGUGGCUACUUAGAUUCCGAUUGGGGAUGUUGUACCACUACUAAGAGAUCAACUACAAGCUAUAACAUCUACCUAGGUGUCAAUUGUAUAUUUUGGACCUCCAAGAAACAUACCAUAGUAGCCCGAUCGAGUGUUGAAGCUAAGUAUAGAGCACUAGCCUCCACAGCCGCAGAACUGACUUAGACUUUGUAUCUUCUACAUGACCUUAGAGUGUUUCUUCGAUCUGAUCCUACAUUGUAUUGCGAUAACAUGAGUGCCUUGUACAUGACAGUUACUUUAGUUAUGCAUGCUAGAACCAAACAUGUUGAAACAAACUAUCAUUUUUUCAUGAGAAAGUGGCCAUGAGACAACUUUAGUCACUUUGUGUAGUCUAAGGAUAAGCUAGUUGACAUUCAUACCAAAGUCUUCACAAAGCAUGUUUACUCUGAUUUUUACAGCAAGCUAGGAUUUACAGAUCUUGCACUCGACUCAAAUUUAUUCGAUCAAAAUAAUAUGCGUACCAGUGUUGAUCAUUCUGUUUGAUUCUAUUUUAAUAUAUAAUUUAAAUUGUGAAUUUCAAAUAUAAUUUUAAAUUUGUAAUUAGAUUGCAUCUAGUUAAAUUUAAUUGACUAUUUAAAAAGAAUUUAAGAAAAACCUCGUUAAGGCUCCCACAAGGCUCAUCAUAGAAUGCAUAUACAUUUGGAUAUUUGUCAUGUUUUCGUGGAUAGUCCAAUUAGAAAUAUAAGUGCAUUUGGAUACAUAAACACAUUAAUAGAUUUGAAUGUAGCAGUGCAUCCAUUUUUAAAACAAUGGAAUACAUAUACUUCUGGAUAAUUAUAUUGCAAUAAAUUCAUUAUCAUUUGUUUUUUUCCUGAAUUGUUCAAUUGUAUUUAUCAUUAACAAAAUUGACUUAAGAAUAUCAUAAUACAAUUAUUCUUGCCAUGGAAUUCGUCUGUUGGAAAUUAAAACAAAUAAAUUCAUUCGCAAUUACAAUAAAUUAAAUUAAAACAAACUUAUGUGAAAUGCCUAAACGUUUGAACAAAAACAAUGGCAACAAUAAAGAAUGGUGUACAAUGUAUUUCAAUUCUUUUAAAAUUGACUAGAAUUCAAAAGUAUAUGCACUGGCCAUAUAAUUAUUAGUUGUUUAUGUAAUGAUGAGAAAUUGAGAAUUUAAGGACAUAAUUAACAAGAUUGUUAUAGUACCAGAAAUUACCUUAUAUAAUGCAGUAUAAUUAAAAUUAUAUAAAAAAAAAGAUACAAAAACAUACACAAAUACAGUCAAAUAUUGAUUAAAAUGUACUCAUUUUUUGUAAAUAGCAUUGAACUUCAAUAAUAUAGUUAUUUAUAUAAAUUGCUCUAAAAUUAAUCUCAAUUUUAUUAAAAGAAAUUAUUAUAUUUAUUCCACGUACCAAAAAGACUCCUCAAUCUUGUAAAGCCCAAAAUAGAAGAGGAGGCCCUUUGAUCGAAAAAACUAGAGGAGGGCAAUUCAAUAAAUGAGCCCACCAGGCAUUCACACCAAGAAACAAUGGUCACUCUAUCCUCAUAGAAGUUAACGAUGAUGAAAACCUUAUAAAUACCGAAUAGUCUACUCUUUACUUAUCUCACUCCGCCGUGAUAGAUCCAAAGCCCUUAAUUUCUCAAUUCCUUCUGGGUUUUGGGUCUAUAGUUGCUUCUUUUUCCUACAAUUUCCCUUUUUGGGAAAAUCAAGGUAUGUUUUUUGUUUGAAUUUCCUUUAUUUCUGGAACAAGUUGGUGUUUUUGUUUAGUGUGUGUUUGCGAUUUUAGGAUUUUGCUGAAGAUUAAUAAAUGUUGGGUUUGUUUUUGUGGAUUUGGCGUAGGUGGGCGAGUGGUGAGUGGUGACUGUUUUGAGUGGAGGUUAUGGCCUGGAAUCGAGGAGAGCAAAGCUCAUCUGGGAUCAAGUUUGACAAGGGGAGUGGAUCUGCUAUGUUUUGGGGUUUGAAUUGAGAAAAAGGAGCUUGAUGAAGUUGACUUUAAAUCCGUUCGAUAUGGACAGUAGUAACCAAAAGAUGGGGUUUUCAGCCAUGACAAGUUUGUUAAACGAUUUUGGAUUUAUGGUAGAUGAGAAUUAAUGAGGUUGAGAAACUUGAUUCGCAAGAUGGGAAUUCAUCAGGGUGCGGGUUUCCAAUUGAUUGGUGGAAAUUGUGAGCCGCUGGGGAUGAAUUUCAGAGAGGGGUUGAACGGUGGUCAUGGUCUGAUGGAUGGUGAAUGAUCAUUGUGGUGUGGACGGAGGUAAUCCAUCGCAGGCGUUGUUAGUUGUUGUCCCUUGGUUAUUUGCCCAUUGUGGGGUGGGGGACCUAUUUGUAGUUGAAAGAUUAUGCAAGCCUUUAUGCGAUGUUAUUGUAGGAGAUCCACUUUUAUGGAAAAAAAUUAACAUAGUUCAUCCAUUUUGUACUAACAUCACAAAUGAUAUCCUUAUAAAGUUGAAGAAUAGAGCUCAAGCCCAUCUUUAUUCUCUCAGUCUAUUUCACUAAUCAAAGCUCACUGAUGUUGGUUUGAAGCUCAAAGUCAGUUGUUUCUCUUGUGUUACUUGCUUAGUUAUUAGGAAAUGUAUUACCUUAACAAUUAUAAGUAGUAAGAAAUCUAUUAAGCACACAGUUAAUUUAGAAACCCUAACUUAUAAACCACUUUUUUUCAUAAUAAACCAAUAUGCAAUUUGAAUUUCCAUGUUUAUAUCUCUUCCGCCCACCUCAGUACUUGUUUGGUUAUUCCAGGGCCUUGCCAACAUUUGACAGACAAGAGAAAUGUCCUCUAAUUAAUGCAACACUUGAAGAAAAUAAUGCUUAUAUAUAUGGUAAUAACUAGUCUAUCCAUAACUUGUGUUGGAGUCUUCCGCUGUUCACAGACGAGAAAGACAAGUGAGGGAGAAAGGGACAGUCUCCAUGGCUUCACCAAGUAAGCAUUGCAAACCCCAAAUGAUAAUUCUUUAAAAGUAUUUGUUGUAUGUGUGAUUUCAUUUUGUUAUUUGUUUUAUUUAGUAUUGGAAUGAAACAUACCAGAGAGGAUUUAGUAUUCCUAUGGUCUACCCCAUCUAUUUAGUUGUUUAUUUUACAUUAUUUCGUUAUUGUUAACUUUCCCAUAUGUGUAUCCCUUUUUCAAACUAUAUGGUGUGCUUUAAUUUAUGCAGAGUUUGUUGCAAGAUUUUAGUGGGCAUCGAUGUUGUUGUUGUUAUGGUCUACCCUUACUAUUUGGGAUUGAUGUGUAUAUAGUAGGAGUAGAACUUUUCCAAGAGUUCACAUGAUUAUUUAAAACAUUGUUUUUCCAGCUUAUAUUUUGUAUAUCUACAACCCCUCUCUUUCACACUUGCACAUCAUGGAAUAAUUUCAUUAAUGUUUGGACUAAGGUUGCGGCCAUGACCCUCUAAACGCGAUAUGGAUAGAAAUCAGCCCAAAAGUUUGAGAGAUUUUUGUGGAAUUGAAUGAACCAACCUGCCUUUUGUAGGCUAGCUCUUUUUGUGUAUUAUAGUUAAAUGAACUUGUCUCCAAAAUUUCUCCAUUAUCACAUAACUGAUUUAUCAAAAAAAUUCUUUCACUUUCAUCUUCCAUCUCGGCUAUGUUUGAUUCAAUGUUUCCUUCUUUUUUUAAGUUGGAUUGAUGUCCAUGAGCUAAAGAUCUUUCAUAAACUACCUCUUUAUCUCCACAAAGUAGUGGUAAGAUUUGCACUAUGUACAUUCUUCGUACUCUACUAAGUGCGAUUUCACUAGGUAUAUUGUUGUUGAUGAUGAUAAUAAUAUUUUUCACUAGGGAAUAUAUGGAAAAGCUCCUUCUAUUGUUGAUAGUUUUAGAUGAAUAAAUAUUAAGGUGGAAAGCUCCCAUCUUAAAAAUUGAAUUACCAUUUUGCCUAUCUACGAAAUUAAGAAUAUAAUUAAAUAAUAAUAUUUUAAUUAUCUAAAGAUUGAAUUAUAUAAAAUUAUAAAUGCAUCUUUUUCAUAUUAAAAAAUAAAAUUGAACUAGAUUUAGAAUGAAUUGUAAUACAAAAAUAGAAAGGAGAAACGCUUUCUCUCCUAAGGAAGUUCUCAAACAAACUAAAAAUUCAAAGUUCCUCUUUAUCCUAUCAAGAUGGUGAUUUUCUAAUCGAACAAGAAUGAACUGUAGUCGGUUCUAAAAGAAGUAACUAUAAAAACAAACAACUUAACACAAAGAUAAAUUGGUUGAAAAAUACAUAAUGAGUAUCAAUUAGUAAGAUUACAUAAAUCAAUAUGUUCAUAUGUGAUUUUACCAUUUCCUGUAUUGCUACCAUAGAUCUUUUCUUUUAUGAACUUCAUCGAAAUGAUAAGUAUUAGUACAACAUGAGUAAAUAUUUUGCCACACACUCACAUGCAAUUAAAUUAGUAUAAAGCACCGUUAUGUUUCUCUUAACUAAGUUGGAUUCAUAUAUGAUAUAACUUACUUAAGAGAAAAAUAAUGUAUAAUUACACUAAUUUAAUUGCAUGUCAAGUGUGUGCAAAAUAAUUCUUUAUGAUGUAUCACUACGCUAUCAUUUUGAUCAAGCUCAUGAAAAAACAUGUUAUAUGCUAACAAUACAACAACGAAAUAGUAAAAAAUCAUACAUGAAUAUGUUAAAAUAUAUAGUAUUAUUAUUUGAUGUAAUAAUUUGAUAUUCAUUAUUUAUUCGCCAACAAAUUUAUAUUUGCGUUAAGUCAAUUUUUUUGUUACUUCUUUAGACCCGACUAUGAUUCAUUCUUGUUCAAUCAUAAAAUCACUGUCUUGCUAAUAGGAAGAUCUUAUGGGAAAAUCUUAGGAACAUUAAAACAUCUUAUAAAGGUAUGUGGCUCAUCAGAGGUGAUUGUAAUGAGCUAACUUUUUUUUUUAAUAAAAAGAAAAGGAUCUCAAUGAGAAAAGUACAAUCAAGGGGGGUUAGGCUUCCUUACUAAUCUUAAUGAGGUAAAGGACUUCUACUAAUUAACAUGCAUGAACAAAUUACGAGCUAGAGAAAACUAGAUAUUGCAUUAUCAUCAUAGAGUUCAUAAUAAUUUUAUGAUGAUACUACAAAAGAGAAUGCUUAAGUAAUUCAAAAAUACAAAAUCUAAGAAUAAAGUUGAGUUAUCACAGAAAUUCUGGAAAGAAAAAACGUUGGUAACCCUUUCUGAGUAAUUACAAAAAAUUGUAUUCUAUUGGCUUAUUUGAGAUAUUGUCACAACCCAAACCGAUUGCGACUGGCACCCACACUUACCCUCCUAUGUGAGCGAACCAACCAAUCUAACCUUAACAUUUCAAUAUAAUAUCAACAGAAAGUAAUGCGGAAGACUUAAACUCAUUAAAUAAAGACCAAUUCAUUAACUUCUAAAAUUCAACAUCUAUUAUUCCCCAAAAUCUGGAAGUAAACAUCACAAGAACAUCUACGAUUAAAUGACUAAACUAAGAGUAUUCUAAAAGCUAAAAAUACAUAAGAAGCUAGUCCAUGCCGGAAGUUCAAGGCAUCAAGACUUGAAGAAGAAGAUCCAGUCCAAGCUAGAAGCAUUAGCUCACCCUGAAUUUCCGAUGUAGUAAGACUGGCUUGAAUUACUAUUGAGUUGAAGAUGAUGGCACGUUUGCUGCACUCCACAAAUAAACAAGAAGAAAACAUAAAAGUAGGGGUCAGUACAAAACAUGGGUACUGAGUAGAUAUCAUCGGCCAACUCAAAAUAGAAAUCAAUAUAUACCAAGUAAUAUCAUAAAAUCAACUAUGAUACUGAACAUGUAGCAACAACAAAUACUAUAUCAUUAACAAUUACCGUCAAGUUCACACAUGAAGACUCAAGCCUCAAUACCAUACUCAUUUGGGAAUCAUGUUCAUUAGAUUGAGUAUAUUAACAUCUUUCAAGAUUCAUUAUCUUUAUUUCUCUUGUGUCGGUACGUGACACUCUGCUCCCUCAAUAUUCAUUAAUCCUCUUGUGUCGGUACGUGACAUUCCGAUCUCCUAAAUCUACGUGUCGGUUCGUGACACCCGAUCCACUAAUACUACGUGUCGGUUCGUGACACCCGAUCCCCUAAUACUACGUGUCGGUUCGUGACACCCGAUCCCCUAAUACUACGUGUCGGUUCGUGACACCCGAUCCCCUAAUUCUACGUGUCGGUUCGUGAUACCCGAUCCCCUAAUUCUACGUGUCGGUUCGUGACACCCGAUCCCCUAAUACUACGUGUCAGUUCGUGACACCCGAUCCCCUAAUCUCCUUCCAUCAAUUCAUCAAGCCUUCUUUCUUACCAAGGCAUCAUCAAUCCCAUUAUUUUAGUUCAUCACGCCUUCUUUUAUACCAAGGCCUCAUUAUUAACAAAGAGAUUAGGAUUUUGCAAGAUUUGGGAUUCAAUAACUUCAUCAUGCUUAUAUAAUCACAAUUAUAUAAUUACAUUCAUGCAAGCAUACAAUUAAGCACAUAGCAGGGUUUACAAUAUUAUUAAUACAUAUCAUUCUCUAUUAAGAGUUUACUACGAAUAUUGUAAGAGAAACCAUAACCUACCUCCACCGAAGACUAGUGAUCAAGCAAGCAAAUUCCCAAAGCUUUGUGUUUUCCUCUUCGUUUCUCCUCUCUCGAUCAAUCCUCUCUCUCUCUCUUUGUUCUUUCUAUUUUUCUUUAUUCAAACCCUCUUUCUUUUACCCUAAUUAGUAUAUAAUUAAGAAUAAAAGAUAGCAAUAAUGACCCACUAAUUAACUUAAGGUUACCUCUUUUAACCCCCAAGUAAUUAGACUUAUUAACAUUAACCCACUAACUUUAUAAUUAAAGCAGGAAUAGUCAAAAACGUCCCUUAAAACGUAUCAAGAAAUCCGACACAGACUGGGAUUACGCAGUCUAUGACGGCCCGUCGCGCCUGCGACGGUCCGUCCUGCUGCCCCGUCACAGAGUUCAGAGACUCAAUUUCUCUGAAGAGUCUGUGACGGUCCGUCACACCUGUGACGGUCCGUCCUGCCAUUCCGUUACGAAGUUCAGAGAGUCAAUUUUCAGUACCUAAUUUCUGAUUUUCUAAGUGUUUUGAAACGAGACCCUACGAUGGUCCGUCGUGCCCAUGACGGUCCGUCGUGCCCAUGACGGUCCGUCGUGCCCAUGACGGUCCGUCGUGCCCAUGACGGUCCGUCGUGGGGUCCGUCGUUUCUGCCAGUUUUUCCAGAAUUGAAGUGUGCUGCUCAAAAUGACUAAACAGGUUGUUACAAUAGAUACCAAUUUACCCAUCGUUCAUCCCCGAACGAUCACAAGAAGGAAAACAAGGACGAAAAGGAGUACCUGAAUCUGUAAACAGGUGUGGGUAUCUUUCUCGCAUAUCAGCCUCUUUCUCCCAAUACCUUAUCUUGGAUUCUUCUUAGUUUCUCAUCAUCAAACUGUUUUCCCUUAAUCUUGUCAAGAAAGGAAGAUCUUGCCUCCACACAAGCGAACAAUCCUCCCUUCUCAUUUACUUCUAAUCUCAUCAAGUCGUUAGCUAGAGUCUGAACCUCUCUAGCUAAUGGGCGUCUAGAGGCUUGCAAGUGAGCUAGACUUCCCAUGCUUCCCGCCUUUCUACUUAAAGCAUCCGCUACAACAUUCGUCUUCCCCGGAUGAUACAAAAUGGUGAUGUCGUAGUCUUUCAGUAGUUCCAUCCAUCUUCUUUGUCUCAAGUUCAAAUCUUUCUGAGUAAAGACAUACUGUAGGCUACGAUGAUCCGUAUAGACCUCACACUUAACCCCAUAUAAAUAGUGUCUCCAUUGCUUUAAUGCAAACACUACCGCAGCCAAUUCCAAAUCAUGAGUUGGAUAGUUACGUUCAUGCACUUUUAAUUGCCUUGAAGCAUAAGCAAUCACAUUCUUCUCUUGCAUUAGCACUGCACCCAAACCAGAAUAGGAUGCAUCACAAUAAAUAAUGAAAUUCUUACCCUCCACUGGCAAGGUGAUAAUUGGUGCGGUAGUCAACAAAGUCUUGAGCUUCAGAAAGCUUUCCUCACACUCAUCCGACCAUACAAAUGGAACAUUUUGCUUAGUCAAGUUCGUCAGUUGGGAAGCAAUAGAAGAGAAUCCCUUGAUAAAUCGGCGGUAGUAGCUAGCUAACCCAUAAAAGCUCCUUAUUUCUGACACAUUAGUAGGUCUUACCCAAUUCUUCACUGUCUCAAUCUUAGAAGGAUCCACCAUCACUCCAUCCUUGGAAACCACGUGCCCCAAGAAGGACACUGCAUCUAGCCAGAACUCACACUUAGACAACUUGGCAUAAAGAUUUUUCUCCCUCAACAUUUCCAAUACCAUUCUCAAAUGCUCCUCAUGUUCUUUCUUGCUCUUUGAGUAUAUCAGUAUAUCAUCAAUAAAUACGAUAACGAAGAGGUCCAAAUAUGGCUUAAAAAUCCCGUUCAUCAAGCUCAUAAACGCAGCAGGGGCAUUCGUAAGACCAAAAGACAUCACUACAAAUUCGUAAUGCCCAUACCUCAUUCGAAAAGCAGUCUUUGGCACAUCCGUUGCCCGCAUUUUCAAUUGAUGAUAACCAGAUCUCAAGUCAAUCUUAGAGAAGACACAAGCACCUUGUAACUGAUCGAACAAGUCAUCAAUGCGAGGAAGAGGAUACUUGUUCUUUAUGCUUACCUUGUUUAGUUGUCUGUAGUCUAUACACAUUCGAAAACUCCCAUCCUUCUUCUUCACAAACAAAACCGGAGCACCCCAAGGAGAUGCACUUGGUCUAAUAAAGCCUUUGUUUAACAACUCUUGAAGUUGGGCUUUUAACUCUCUUAACUCCGCGGGAGCCAUUCUAUAAGGGGGUAUAGAAAUGGGGCGAGUACCCGGUUCAAGGUCAAUACAGAAAUCAAUAUCCCUAUCUGGUGGCAUACCAGGAAGAUCUGCAGGGAACACAUCCAGAAACUCACGGACCACCGAAACUGACUCAAUCGAAGGUACUUGGGUAGUGUCAUCCUUGAUAUGUGCCAAGAAAGCUAAACACCCUUUACUAACCAUUUUCUUAGCACGAAGAAAGGAGAUGAUACGCACCGGAUUGGAAGUGUAGUCACCCUACCAAACUAACGGAUCUGUCCCAGGCUUGGCUUACAGUCACCGUUUUAGCAUUACAAUCCAAGAUCGCAAAUUGCGAAGAAAGCCAAGUCAUACCCAGAAUUACAUCAAAAUCAUCCAUUUCUAAGAUAACCAAAUCUACAUAAGUGUUGCUCCCCACAAAGUUCACCAAACAAGACCUAUAUACCUUUUCAACUACCACAGACUCACCCACCGGAGUAGAAACACGAAUAGGCAUAUCAAGUAAUUCACAAUGUAAAUUUAGACCAUUAGCAAAUGAGGAAGAUGCAUAAGAAAAUGUGGAUCCAGGAUCAAACAAUACAGAAGCCAUGCAAUCACAAACCAGAAGAUUACCUGUGAUGACAGCAUCAGUUUGAUAUGUCUGAUCUUGGCUUGAUGCAUUACCUUUUGUAGUUGAAAGAAUAUGCAGCCUUUAUGGGAUGUUGUUGUUGGAGAUCCACUUUUAUGGAGAAAAAUUAUCAUAGUUCAUCCAUUUUGUACUAACAUCACAAAUGAUAUCCUUAUAAACUUGACGAAUACAGCUCAAGUCCAUCUUUAUUCUUUCAAUCUAUUUCACUGCUCAAAGCUCACUGAUGUUGGUUUGAAGCUCAAAGGUCAGUUGUUUCUCUUGUGUUUUUUGCUUAGUUAUUAGGAACUGUAUUACCUCAACAAUUAUAAAUAGUAAGAAAUCUAUUAAGCACACAGUUAAUUUAGAAACCCUAACUUGUAAACCACACUUUUUCAUACUAAACCUAUAUGCAAUUUGAACUUCCAUGUUGAGGUCUCUUCAGCCCACCUCAGUACUUGUUAGGUUAUUCCAGGGCCUUGUCAAAAUUUGACAGACAAGAGAAAUGUCCUCUAAUUAAUGCAACACUUGAAGAAAAUAAUGCUUAUAUAUAGUAAUAACUAAGCUCUCUAUAACUUGUGUAGGAGUCUUUCAUUGUUCACAGACGAGAAAGACAAGUGAGGGAGAAAUGGACAGUCUCCAUGGCUUCACCAAGUAAGCAUCGCAAACCCCAAAUGAUAAUUCUUGAAAAAUAUCUAUUGUGUGUGUGAUUUCAUUUUGUUAUUUGUUGUAUUUAGUAUUGGAAUGAAACAUAUCAGAGAGGAUUUAGUAUUCCUAUGGUCUACCCCAUCUAUUUAGUUGUUUAUUUCACAUUAUUUCGUUGUUGUUUAUUUUCCCAUAUGUGUAUCCCUUUUUCAAACUAUUUGGCGUGCUUUAAUUUAUGCGGAGUUUUUUUAUCCACAAGUUAAGGGUAAGAUAUGUUUAUACUCUAUCCUCUAUAAAUCCAACUUGGCGAGAAUUUACUGGGUAUCAUUGUUGUUGUUGUUGUUAUGGUCUACCCAAACUAUUUGGGAUUAAUGUGUAUAUAGUACGAGUAGAACUUUUCCAAGAGUUCCACUUGAUUAUUAAAAACUUUGUUUUUCCAGCUUAUAUUUUGUAUAUCUACAACCCCUCUCUUUCGCACUUCCACAUCAUGGAACAAUUUCAUGAAUGUUUGGACUAAGGUUGCAGCCAUGGCCCUCUAAACGCAAAAUGGAUAGAAAUCAACCCAAAAGUUGAAGAGAUUUUUGUGGGAUUGAAUUAACCAACCUGCCUUUUGUAGGCUAGCUCUUUUUGUGUCUCCAAAAUUUCUCCGUUAUGACAUAACUGAUUUAUCUAAAUUUUUCUUUCACUUUCAUCUUCCAUAUCUUCCAUCUCGGCUAUGUUUGAUUUUGUGUUUCCUUAUUUUUGUAAGUUGGAUUUCACUAGGCAUAUUGUUAUUGAUGAUGAUAAUAUUUUUCACUAAGGAAAAUAUGGAAGAGCUCCUUCUAGUGUUGAUAGUUUUAGAUGAAUAAAUAUCAAGGUGGAAAGCUCCCAUCUUAAAAAUUGAAUUACGAUUUUGCCUCUCUACUAAAUUAAGAAUUUAAUUAAAUAAUAAUAUUUUAAUUAUCUAAGAUUGAAUUAUAAAAAAUUAUAAAUGCCUCUUUCUCAUAUUAAAAAAUGAAAUUGACCUAGAUUUAGAUUGAAUUGUAAUCCAAAAAUAAUAGCAGAAAUACCCUAGAUUAGGAACGCUUUCUCUCCUAAGGAAGUUUUCAAACAAACUAAAAAUUCAAAGUUUCUCUUUCUCAUAUCAAGAUGGUGAUUUUCUAAUCGAACAAAAAUAAACCGUAGUCGGUUCUAAAAGAAGUAACUAUAUAAAAACCAACUUAACACAAAUAUAAAUUGGUUGAAAAAUAAAUAAUGAUUAUCAAAUAGUAGGAAGAUAUAAACAAUAUGUUCAUAUGUGAUUUACCAUUUCCUUGUAUUGCUAGCAUAGACCUUUUCUUUUAUGAACUUCAUCGAAGUGAUAGAGUAUUGACACAACAUGAGGAAAUAUUUUUCCAUACACUCGACAUGCAAUUAAAUUAGUACAAAUCACCGUUAUGUUUCUCUUAAAUAAGUUGAAUUAAUAUAUGAUUUUAACUUAUUUAAGUUAAAAAUAACAUAUACUUAUACUAAUUUAGUUGCAUGUCAAGUGAGUGAUAAAAAUAUUUCUUUAUGAUUUACCCUAGUCCACUACUCUAUCAUUUUGAUCAAGUUCAUGGAAGAAAAUGUUAUAUGAUAACAAUACUACGAAAUGCUAAAAAAUAAUGCAUGAAUAUGUUAGCUUAUAUAGUAUUAUUAUUUGAUAUUCGUUAUUUAUUCGUCGAUAAAUUUAUAUUCGCGUUAAGUCAAGUUUUUUGUUAACUCUUUAUGAUCGACUAUGUUCGAUCAGAAAAUCACAAUCUUAAUAAGAAUUUUGAAUUUUUAGUUUGUUCAAAACUUACGAUGGGAAAACAUUUCAAUCUAGGGUGUUUCUCCCUUCUAUUUUUAGAUGGUGACUCAUUCUAGAUCCACGCAAAUCAACAUUUUUAAUAUGUGGAAGAUGGACGUUGAAUUAUUAGUUUAAGUAAAACUUCCUUACAGAGCAGCGAUCUAUUUAGACUGAAGUCAAAAGUUAUAUGUAGGAGUUGUUCACCGUAUUAUAGUUAUGACACCAAUACUACCAAAUUUAGCAACUAGAUAGGAGCAAUGAACUCUCUUUGCUUAUAAUACAUGCCAAUAACCAUCAAAAAAUAGAAGAGAGAAACAACCUAGAUAGGAGCAAUGAACUCUUUGCUUAUAAGACUUGCCAAUCACCAUCCAAAAAUAUAAGAGAGAAACAACCUAGAUAGGAGCGUUAUUCCUUGUAAGAAUGUUUUUAAACAAAUUAAAAUUUCAAAGUUCUUCUUAUCAGUUGGUGAUUUAUGAUCUAACAAGAAUGAAUCAUAGUCUGUCCUAAAAGAUUUAACAAAAAAAAACCCGACUUAACACAUAUAAAGUGAUUGGAAAAUAAAUAUAAUAAUGAAUAUCAAACUAUUAUAUAAAAUAGUAAUAAUAUAUAAAUUAAUAUGUUCAUGUGUGAUUUUACCAUUUUCUUGUAUUGCUAGCAUAUAAGCUUUUCUUUUAUGAACUUGAUUCAAAAUGAUAGAGUAGUUACACACAUGAAGAAAUAUUUCGCAACACACAUGCAAUUAAAUUAGUAUAAAUUAUCAUUAUGUUUCUCUUAACUAAGGUGAAUUAAUGUAUGAUUCAGCUUGAUUAAGAAAAAUAUAAUGGUAGUGUAUACUAAUUUAAUUGCAUAUUUAGUGCGUGAUUAACAUUCAUUUUAUUAAGUCCAUUUGUUUCUUUUUUUAAAAAAAAAAAACUCUUACUGAUCUUAAUGAGUCUGAAUGAUCGACUCUAUUCAAAUAUUAAGUGUUUCUUUUCUUAAACAAAUUCUCUUCUUCGUUGCUUCUCUUCUGGACAAGUUUCAAGUUUCUUCCUCUUCUUUUAAAACCAAGUAUCAUUUUUUUUUCUUUGAAUAAGUUUUCAUAAUCUUUUACAAGUAUUUAUUUAAUAUUUCUAAUAUAUAAAAUAUCCUUGGGUGAAUUGAUAUUUAUGAAGAAACUGUUCUUGUCACAAUUUGUUUGUUGUCAAAACUUCUUCAGAAGAAGUUAUCAUUGUUUCUUGAGAAAACAUUAUUUGAAAAAACAAAUAACUCAUCUUUUUUCUGGGUUGAGUGAUAAUCUUAUUCUUGAAACAAUUGUUUGGAAAAAGUAUUUUUUGUUUGGAUCAUAACUAUUAUUGACAUAGUGUUUAAUUUCAAAUUUAAAAAAAUAUUAAAAACAAACAAUCUUAAUGAUUUAGUGUUCAGACCUAAAAACUACAUUUCAAUAUCCAGACAAAUAUUCGACAUUUUAAUCUUAAUACUAAUCUUAAUAUUCAGAUGCCGCAUUUAGAUUCAGGCCUCUUAAUUUUAACGAAAACAAAUAAGGCCUAAAUCUGCUUAAGAACCGGACCAUAUUAGGUGUAUAGUACGCAAUCUUACCUAAUAUUUCUGUCAUCCAAAAAUAUUCAUUUGUUCAGGUAAUACUCCGCAGCAUUAGGAAUUAUGUUAUGCUAAUAAUAUUGAAGCAGGACAAACAUUUUCUGUCACUAAACAGUAAAAUCCAUUCUUAUAUAUACAAAUUGUGAGGAUUGGAAGCAAAACAUUAGGUUGAAAGUGAAAAAUAAAUUGUUAAUACACAAGUUGUACUACUUAUAUACAUUUUAAUUAAUAAAGAAAAAAAAAAGCAAGCCAAUACCCCUCAUUUUUUUGUGAAAUUAUACUAGCUAUUAGAAUAACGACAACUAUCAUGAGUUUGAAUAGAACAGAACGGAUACAUAAUAUUCGAGUAACAAUAUCUAAUUAGCUUAAAGUUGAAGCAUAUAUAUAAUCGAGUUGA
rnacentral:lncRNA from 1 species